GAGACAGAAAAAAUAUACUUUAGGUGAUUUUCAAGCCAAUAGCACAUAGAGCCUGCAGGUGACUAGGUCAAAGAAUGGGACACCGCAGUUUUGGAACUCCGUUACGGAGCUCGUCAGUCUCCCUCUGAGCUCUUUCAAGUUUCUCUCUAAGCUUAAAAAUUUCUUCAUUUGACUUCAUCUGAGCUAAUUGUGCAGCCCCUUCUGCCUUUAAUCGAGCAAGAUGCUCCUCUGCCAAUUGCUGUUCGAGCCUAGUUAUUGUCUCUUUGAGCUUAGACUCAACCUAUCAAAAAAGCAUCAAUAUCAGCCAGAAAACAUGCCACUAAGCCCUGGAGUAGCAGCCUAAUACAAAAAAAGAUUGGGUGGUGGUAAUAUAAAACUCCAACUUAAGAGAAGAAAAUUCUUAAGUGUUAAUUUAGUUUAAUCCAAUUGCAAAGGGAGUUGCUAAGUUCACCAUACUUGGCAAAACUUUCUUACGUCAAUCAAUUCCACUCUUUCAUUCAUUGAUAAAUGGUUGAAACAAAAACUUAAAAAAAUAAACAGAUAAACUCAAAAUAUAAGGCAUUAAAGAAUCUCUAAACUUUUCAUUUUGCCACACUUCAGGAAUGUGGAGAGUGAAAUGUAUUAACACCUCAGACAUAUAGUUAUUACACAGAAUGUUACAGCAAAUCUAGAUUAUUGUUGAAUAGGAUCAGGCUUAAUGCCGGAUCAUUCUACUGCCUUGCUAUAAAUUAAAACUGUGGAAAGGAAAAUCAAAACUACGCAGCUUUUUUAUUAGGUUCCAUGUGCCUAACUAUAUUUUUCAUAAAAAAUUAUUUUGAAUGUGGCUAUUCAGUAUUUAACAAAUUUAGAAUAUGACAUAACUUGCUUAUAAGUUAUAACAUUUCAAUUGUUCCCACAGAUUCAGGAGUGCAUAAUUCCUUGCAACAAAACAGGAUCUACAGUAUUACAAGAAAUGUUCUAAAGAUUGAUGACUAAACAAGUGCAGAAUCCAUUCCUAAGUGCAAGUCAUGAUGAGUAAACAAAACAGAAUCAGUGAACAAUCAUUAGAACAUUUCAUCAAGAAACACUUAAUUUCAUCAAGAAACAAAACAGAACACGACAGUCAAACAAUCUUCAAGGUAAGAACAACAUGUUACAGCCAUCAAAACACAAUCAGUGAACAGAUAACUUAAUAACAGAUUUGUCCACAUCAACUAUCAAGAUAAGGCCUCUUUACAGAUGGCAAUCUCCAACAAUCUAGGGGUAAGGACACAGCGGCAGUCUUUACCACCUCCAAGUCUCACAAUUUAUAAUAUCAUUACAGGUACCUGCACGCUUUAUAGGUAUUUUUUAAUUACACAGUUUUAGCAAUGAUUACCCGAUCUGAGAAAUGAACGCAUAUGCAUGUCAUAUUUUGAUGUCAAAACAAGGACCAUAAAAAAUACCAUCUCAAUACGUCGUUUGAGUUGAUCUUCAUAUGAUUUUUUCAUCUGCUCCUUCAGCUCUGAAAUUUCUCGUUUUGAAUAUCCCUUGAGAGAAUUAACCUCAACUUGUUGAUCACGGAGUUUAGUAGCCCCUUUCUGAGUAGAAAAAAAGAAAAAGAGACAUUGUCAUGACAUAUUCAGAAUGAAGCAGCACAGAAGUCUAUCACGAUAGUAAUGAAGACACCUUCAACUCAGCAAAGAUUUCGUCUGUAUAUGGUUGCCCACCAUUCUGCAAGAUCACAGAGUUAACCAGAGAAAGAAGCUUCCCAACCUGCUCAGUUCUCUUCGCCGCAUCCUUGGUCUUGUUAUCAAAAAGCACGCGCCUAUUAUCGCAUAGUUGAAUGAUUUCCUAAAAGAAUGGAAAAAUGAUCAGCUGACAAAAUUUGUUUUUAUUGUGAUCGUUAGUACUUAAUAUCAUGGGAUCCUCAAAAACUAUUUAAGGGCAAGCCAUAAUAAAAUUUUAAUAAUCAAUUCCAUUCUCCUUAUGGUUUGACAACUUACAAUAACCUUUUACAUCCAUCAAAUUUAAAGAUCCUAAAAGGUGAUCAGCAUUCCGUAUAACAGAAAAUAAUAAUAAUAAUAAUAGUCUGCAUAAAUUCCAGUGAAAAGCACUGACCCAAUCAAAAUUAGUGGCUACAAAGCAGUAGCUGCCUCUUCACUAGGCAAAUUCUUACAUUAUAUUCAUACUAAACUUCCAAUAGUCCAACCUUAAAGGAGUCCAAAACUUCAGAAAAGAACCAAAUAAAGAUAACUUGAUCAAAAUGACUAAUGAAAUUAUCGAAAACUAUUGCCUUUCAGAAACAAACCUUUAAAGGCUUUGGACACUCAGGACCCAAGUAAUCUUCUAAUGUUUCGUCAUUAUCUUCAAGUUCAUCCCCUCCAGUGAAAACAACAAUCAUAUAGUCAAAAACUUUUUUCCCGAACAAGGACUCCAAACUGUGUAUUGCAGCUCCUUCCUCUUCAGAAAAACGGUUUCUAACAGAGAAAACUAGAAGGACUGCAUGGAUCCCAUCCUUGGCCAUACCAAUACAUUUGACAAUUUCCUUGCUGACAAACUCAGACUCAGCGGAAGAAUCAAAAAGUCCUACAAUGGCUCAUAACAUCAAUCUACUUACCACUACAACAUCAACAAGCAUGGAAUGGAAUAUCUGGGCACCAACAUUAGUAAAUUACCAGGAGUAUCAAUGACAUUAACAACUUGGCCAUCUUUGAGCAUGGUUCUCUGCAUUUCACAAGUUUUAGUAACCCCAGACGAGCCAGCCUUCGACUUGAAGGCUCUUCUUCCGAGAAUACUAUUGCCCGUCGCACUUUUGCCAUUGCCAGUACGGCCAACUAAAACCAAAGUGCGCUCCGCAUUAGAUGGAGAAGUAGGCAUCGAAUCGACAUCAAUCACUCUUCCUCCCAUCAUAAAAAAGAUUUCAAUUUACCUGCAAUGCAUUUACAAUAUCAAACCACUUCACUUUGAAUUCAGUUUUUACCAUUAAACAAUAAGAAACAAAAUUUAGUUACCAUACCCUUACAAUUUCACUCCAUUAAAACCUAUAUUUGUUAUUACUUUAAAUAUUAUCCAACCGAACAUGAAUAAAUUCAUUAAAAAAAUUAAAAAUAAAAAUCAUUCUGACCCCGACAAUAUAGUUAAAUUUAUAAUCUUAAUAAAAAUAUGAUGAAUUGAUAUAUAAUCAAGCACAUAAUCUAAACAGCAUCAGUUAAUUAAUUAAUUGUGUUGAUAUAUAUUUUAAUUUAAUUCUGCUUGUUUUAUGAAAUUAUUGGAAAAAAAAAUGACGACGAUCAAUUAUGCACAGUAGCAAACUUAGGGGGGCUUAGUUAAAAAAAUUAUUUAAUUUGGGUUUUUUUUAAAUAUUCACACAAAUACAUUUUAAGUCUCAUAAACUCAAAUUUCAUUACUUUCUUUUAAAUUUUAAAUAAUAAUAGUAAUAAACAAUUUUUUUAAAUUCAUGAAAGUAUCAUUUUUCUAAGUAGUUUUCGCAAAAUAUUUAAAAAUAAAUAAAAUAAUGUGGCUAUUGAGAUUUGAAUCUGGACUUUAAAACUAUUAAAUAACACUCUUACCAUUGAACUAUAAGUUUUUUGUUACAUGAAAAAUGUGUCUAAAUUUUUUUUAUUUAAUUCUUUUAGAAAGGGCUUGGAGUAUAUUUAAAACAAAAAUUAAUGGCCCAGAAGGGCCUGAACCCCCUCCUAGGCCUUAAUUGGGUCUCCCAUGAUUAUGCAUUACAUCCAAUAAAAUUUACAAACCGAGGUAAAGAAAAUCAAGUCUAUAAUAAAAAAAAAAAAAAGAAAUUGAGAUUGAGAGGAAAAGGCAAGGGCAAUUUGGAGAAAGCAAAGUAUGAAAACAAACCGUGAGAUGAUGCGAUGAACUGAGAUUUUACUUACUUGCGAAGAGAGGAGAGCUAAAAAGAUUGUGUUGCGUAUGCAAAGAUGAGAAAGGGGAAGAGACUUGACUUAAAUUUUAGGAUUUAAGGUAUGAAAAUUAUAAAUUGAAUAAUGAAUGUAAUAGAAAGUUGAGAAGUACAGGAUGUAAGAGAGUUUAAAUAGAAAGUUGAGAAGUAAAGAAUCUAAAAGAGUUUGAAGAAAAGAAUUUAAAAGAGAUAAAAUAGAAAGUUGAGAAGUAAAAAAUGUAAGAAAGUUGAGAAGUAAAGAAUGUAAGAGAGUUUAAAUAGAAAGUUGAGAAGAAAAGAAUCUAAAAGAAGAAUGAACAUGCAAUUUAUCUCUUUUACCUUUCAUUAUUUGUCACUUUUAUUAUUAAGGAGGUUGAUAAUUUUUUUCUAUUGGAACUAAUAUAUAUCAUUUAUUUCUUAUUAAUUUUAUAAUACCUAAAAACUCUCUUGUCACCAAAAACUUUAAAACAAAAGAGGGGUAAAUGAGUUAUUUUCUUAAUAACUUAUCUUGGGGCUAUAAUAUGUGCAUUCAUUAUAAGAAAAAUAUUUAAAAAUAACAAAAAGUACAAGAAAAUAUUUGUUAAUUAAUUUUUUAUUUAAAUUGAAACAUAUUUAUUUUUUAUUUUUAGUACUUAAAUUUUUUAUUUUAAUUCGUAUUUAUAUAAUUCAUUUAAGUUAUAAUAAAUAUGAAUAAAAUUUUAUUUAAAAAUAAGAAUAAUAUUAUAAAAUUACAUAAUUAAAAAUUAUUGACUAUUAUUAAAACAAUACUAAAGUAAUUAGUAAAUAUUGAUUUGAAUAGAGGAAAAUUGACGACCUCCCAUUAUUAUUAUUAUGGAUACUCCUUUAUUAAAUUAGCGUAUUUGAUUAACACUAAAAAGUGUACGUGUAAUAAGGAUAAAAAUUUUAGUUUUUCACUUAAAGUGUUGAUUAAUGCGCGCAUAACUUAUAAAUUAUAUGAAUGCUCCUGCUCCCUAAAUAAAUUUUUGUGUUAAAUUAAUUCGCAAUAUGUUAAUUUUUAUCUUAUGAAUAUUUUUCAGGAAUAAAUUGGAAUUGAAAGCGGGAAUAAAAAAGGACUCCUAGAGCAAUUUGGAAGCAUUAUUGAGGAGAUGUAAAUAAAUAAAUAAAAUAAAAAAUAAAAACGAAUAAAAAAUUAUAAGAAUGAAAAAAGAACAAAAACCAAGCAAUUUGGUUUCUCGUGAUGGUCAAGUGGCCAUCAUAGCCACUUGACCAUUACACAUUUCAAUGUACAUAUAUAUAUAUAUAUAAUAAUAAUAAUAAUAAUAAUAAUAAUAAAAAAAAAAAAUAAAGAUAAUGCAUUCCUUGCCUAUAAAAGGGUAAGGAAAUGCAGGGAGAAGCCAGUAGAGGAGGGAGCCGAGUUCUGAGAGAGAGUGAUAGCUAAGGGUGUAGUUGAAGAAUUUCUUUCUUUGUUUGUUUCUUUGUAAUAUAUUUCCAAAAGUUUAUCAAAUAAAAAGAGUGUUGUAUUUUCUUUUAAUAUGUGUGGCUAAUUUUAUUAAGCUGAGGUGAAGGGUGAAGCUCAAUGUCAUGACCCAACCCAGACCUGGCAAGAUAUUGUCUGCUUUGGGCCUUAACAAGACCCGCACGGAUUUGUUCUUGGGGCGCCCAUACACCCCAAAACGCAUCUUGCCAAUUAAGGUAUGGAUCACCCCUUAUAAACCCAGCAUCUCUCCCGUGCUUUGUCGAUGUUGGAUUCGCCUAGGGUGUUACAUACACCCCCCCUUGGGGACUCAGCGUCCUCACUGAGGUUUGCCCCACCAUCGCUCAAGAGGAUACGCGGAGCCGCUCUGAUACCGUAAUGUCAUGACUCAACCCAGACCUGGCAAGAUAUUGUCCGCUUUGGGCCUUAACAAGGCCCGCACGGAUUUGCUCUUGGGGCGCCCAUACACCCCAAAAUGCAUCUUGCCAAUUAAGGUGUGGAUCACCCCUUAUAAACCCAUCAUCUCUCCCGUGCUUUGCCGAUGUGGGAUUCGCCUAAGUUGUUACACUCAAUGUUUCAAACUAUUAAUUAUUAUUAUUUUCUCAAAUGAGUUUUUAAGUUUGUUUUAUUCUUUUCUAGCUAUUUUUAUGUCAUGUUAAUUUAUAAAUUUCUUUGGAUCUAUAUGGUAUUUUGACAUAAUGUCUACACAUUAACAUAGUGUGGCACAUUAGGUACUUUAUUCCAUAUUUAUCCACACACAGAGAAUUAAAUGAUAUAAUAAUUAACUGGUAAAAGUGAGGCAAAAUAUAAAUGAGAGAGUAUUAAAAUUAUAAUUUGAAUAUUGAGAGUGGAUCCCGUAACCUUAGCAUAUUUUUAAAUUGUUUUCAAAUAAUUUAUUUUCCCCACAAUUAAUUUUCUUUGUUUAACAAAUUGACAACUAGAUUUUAAAAUUUUCUGUGGUUCAACCCCGAACUCACCGGGUUAUAUUAUAACUACACACUCUUAUACUUAGGAGUAAUAUAUUUUUGAGUCAUGUCAAGUUUUUAGCGUCGUUGCCGGGGAGUUUUCUAAAUUUGGUGUUAGUUUGUCUUUACUUUUUUUUUUUCGCAAAAUAUUUUAGUUUGUCUUUAGUUUGUCUUAUCUUUUCGCAAAACUUCAGUUAGCACCCCUCCUCUUUUCAAACUUUAACAUUAUCUAUAAAUUUGUGAGAAACUUCAUUUUAGCCUAGAAACCUUUGCAAAUCAGUCCCCAAAUCAAAUUUAUUUCUUUAAAUUUCUGCAAUUUACUUUACGCAUUUAUUUUAAAUGGUCGGUUCUACCGCCUAACUGUUAUUUAAAUUUUGUUAAUUUAUGUAUUUUUAUUUAUAUGGUCGGUUCUACCACCUAUCAUUUUAAUUUCAGUUUAUUUAUUCUUGUACAUUAAUUUAUUUAAUUUUAUAUUUUAUUAUAUGGCUAGUUUUAAAUUACCACAUCAAUUGUUUCUUUUAAUUUCUUUGUUUAUGGCUGGUUUCACCGCCUAAUUUAUUUAUUUUAUUUAUUUUCAGUUUGUUUAUUUUUAUUUUUUAUUUUUACUUAUUUAAUUUCCAGUUUAUUUUUAUUUUUUACAAUUUUCAUUAAGCGUUUUAUGCAUCAUUGGUUUAGCACACAUCAUUAGCAUUGCAUGCGUCGUUGGUCUCAUACAAAUAGUGGUAGAUUAAUUAGAAGAUCACCUUCACCACCCUUAGAUAUGGCUGACAUAGGAGCUGAAAUUUUUUCGGAGCAUGAAAAUGACCAAGCCUUGCAAAAUCUUCAUGAACAGCCUAGGACUCUUAGAGACUUCAUGCAUCCUACUAGAACAGGGUCACCUCCAUGCAUAGUUUUCCUUCUUGAUGCAUCACGUUUUAAUUUCAAACUUGGUAUCAUUCAACUUGUUCCUACUUUUCAUGGUUUUGAGUCUGAAAAUCCAUAUUUGCAUUUAAGGGAAUUUGAGGAAGUCUGUAACACAUGUACUGAUCAAAAUUGUAGCAUGAAUAUAAUCAGGCUUAAGUUUUUUCCUUUCUCACUAAAGGAUAAAGGUAAAACUUGGCUACAAAAUCUUAGGUCAAGAUCCAUCAGAACUUGUGAUGAAAUGCAAGCACAAUUUUUGAAAAAAUUCUUCCCACCCCACAGAACAAAUUUUUUCAAAAGACAAAUCACCACUUUCACUCAAAAACCAGGAGAAACUCUCUACCAAUGUUGGGAUAGGUUUAAAGAACUACUUAACAUUUGCCCACACCACAGUUUUGAAACAUGCAGAUUCGUGUCUUAUAUCUACGAGGGAUUAACAUCUCAAGGUAGACAAGUCGUUGAAAUGAUGUGUAAUGGUGAGUUUAGGGAUAAAAGUCCUGAAGAUGCAUUAGACUAUCUUGACUAUAUAGCAGAGAAUGCACAACACUGGGAUACAGUUGUUUCUUAUGAGUCAUCAAGUAAACCCCAGUCAUCUCCAUCUGGUGGAGGCAUGCAUAACCUUAAGGAAGAUCAUGAUUUUCAACCUAAAUUUGCAUCAUUGCCUAGAAAAGUCGAAGCAUUAGAAUUGAAAAAGAAUGAUCAUGUAAAGUCUGUUCACAAUAUUUCACAUUAUGUUUACGAUUCUACUAACCAUUUUACGCAGGACUGUCCAACUUUGCCAGCUUUGAGAGAAAGUUUGCAUGAACAAGUAAAUGUCGUUGACAAUUUCAAAAGGCCAAAUCCAAAUCCAUACUCCCAAACUUACAACUCUGGUUGGAGAAACCACCCAAAUUUCAGUUGGAGAAAUGACAAUCAUGCACAACCUUCACAACCAGUUCCUCCACGUCAAAUUUUCCAAAACCCCUAGAGUUACCCACCAUAUGUCCCACCAACAAGAAAAACUCUGGAAGACCCAUUGCAUUUGUUUAUUGAAAAACAAGAGUCGAUCAAUAACCAAACGAUGCAAACCUUAACCAAUUUGACAUAAACUAUCUCUAAACUUACAUCUGCUCCGACCAUGCAUGAAAAAUGAAAGUUUACUGCUCAACCUGAACCAAACCCCAAGAGUCAACAACAUCCUCAAAUGAAAAAUUUAGGAAACCAAAAUAUGAGUCAAGUCAAAUUGGUUAUAACCCUUCGUGGUGGUAAAGUGGUCGAAAAACACAUUGUGGACCCUCGUGAAACUAGUAAAUAUUCAAUUUCAGAAAAUAGGGAAGAGUCUGUCGAACCUUUAACCCAUGAAGAAAUAACCAACUCUCCUCAUAUACCCCUAUUUCCUCAAGCACUAAUCAAGCCAAAGAAAUCAAACCACAGUCUAGAAAUUUAUGAAGUUUUUAAACAAAUAAAGGUCAAUAUUCCUUUAUUGGAUGUCAUUAAACAAGUGCCUUCUUAUGCAAAAUUUCUGAAAGAUCUGUGCACGGUGAAAAGGAAAGAUAAGGUGCAAAAGAGAGCUUUUCUAGCAGAACAGGUAAGUUCAAUUCUCUUAACCAAUAGUGCUUUGAAAUACAAGGAUCCUGGUAGUCCACCUAUUUCUUGCACUAUUGGGGAUCAUAAAAUUGAACAUGUUUUACUUGAUCUUGGUGCUAGUGUUAAUUUGCGUCCUUACUCAGUGUACCAACAACUCAAUCUCGGUGAGUUAAAACCAACUUCUACCACUCAUUUACUUACUGAUAGAUCGAUUAAAGUUCCAAGAGGAAUAAUUGAAAAUGUAUUAGUCCAAGUUGAUAAAUUCAUAUACCCUGUGGAUUUUAUUAUUUUAGAAACGGAACCAAUUGUUAAUGAAUACAAACAAAUUCAUGUUAUAUUGGGUCGACCAUUUUUAGCUAUUACUAAUGCUUUGAUUAAUUGUAGGAAUGGAGUAAUGAAUUUAUCUUUCGGUAAUAUGACAUUGGAACUCAAUGUAUUCAACAUGUGUAAACACCUUCACCACCAAGAACAUGAUGAUAAUGAGAAUGAGGAGAUUGAUCUCAUAGAGCCAAUCAUUGAGGAACACAUUCAAGAUGAGAAUUUUACAAACUGUGCAGAAAUUUGUUUUGCUGGUUCUUUUGAAUCAAAUAAGGAAUUAGAUUGUGAUACUGCUAACAUAUGCCCUACACUUGAUUCUAUGCAGGUACCUACAUGUGACAAUGACUAAUCGAACUUUGAAAAUACGGUACAACCUGAAAAACCAAACGAAGAGGAAGUACCAGAGCUCGAAUUAAAGCCCUUACUAGAAGAAUUGAAGUAUGCCUAUCUUGGAGAGCAGCAGACAUAUCUGGUGGUAAUUUCUUCCCAACUCACGUAUGAUCAAGAAGGUAAGUUGUUGUAUGUAUUAAAAAGGCAUAAAAUUGCAUUUGGUUGGACCUUAAAAGACAUAAAAAGCAUGAAUUAUUUAAUUUGCACAAACCAAAUACACUUAGAGGAAAAUGCCAAAACAACUCGUCAACCACAAAGAAGACUAAACCCUCAUAUGAAAGAAGUGGUAAAAAAUGAGGUCCUUAAACUACUAGAUGUAUGAAUUAUCUAUCCUAUCUCUAAUAGCAAAUGGGCAAGUCCAACACAAGUAGUACCAAAGAAAUCUGGAAUAACCGUUGUAAAAAAUGAAAAAGGUGAACCAAUCCCAACACGAAUUCCAUCCAGUUGGUGAAUGUGCAUUGAUUAUAGAAAAUUAAAUGAUGCCACUAGAAAAGAUCAUUUUUCCCCUGCCAUUUCUAGACCAAAUUCUCGAAAGAGUGGCUGGACAUCCCUACUACUGCUUUCUUGAUGGUUACUCUGGCUAUUAUCAAAUCUCUAUAACCUUAGAAGACCAGGAAAAGACCACAUUCACAUGCCCAUUUGGAACAUUUGCAUUUAGGAUAAUGCCUUUUGGACUUUGCAAUGCUUCUACAAUAUUUUAAAGGUGCAUGCUAAGUAUUUUUAGUGACAUGGUUGAAAAUUAUCUUGAGGUUUUUAUGGAUGAUUUAACUGUAUUUGGUAAUUCUUUUGAUAUAGGUCUUAAUAAUCUAGAAAAAGUUUUAAAAAUGUGCAAAGAAAAAGGAAUGGUUUUAAAUUGGAAAAAAUGCCAUUUCAUGACCACUUCUAGAAUUGUCUUGGGCCAUGUUGUGUCUUCAAAAGGAAUUGAAGUUGACAAAGCCAAAGUUGAAGUCAUUUCAAAAUUACCCUCAACAAAGAUAAUUAGAGAAGUCUGUUCCUUUUUAGGACAUGCAGGAUUUUAUAGGAGGUUUAUAAAAGACUUUAGUGUCAUAUCUAGACCACUUUGUAACCUCUUAAUAAAAGACCACAUUUUGAAUGGACUAAAGAUUGUCAACAAGCUUUUGAAAAAAUAACUACUCUUUUGACAUCAACCCCGAUAAUGCAACCCCUUGAUUGGUCUUUACCUUUUGAACUAAUGUGUGAUGCUAGUGAUUAUGUUGUUGGCGUCGUUCUGGGUCAAAGAAAGGAAGGUAAGCCCUUUGUCAUCUAUUAUGCAAGUAGAACUUUAAAUAGUGCUCAAAUGAAUUACACUACAACUGAGAAAGAACUACUUGCUGUAAUAUUUGCAUUGAAUAAAUUUUGUUCGUAUUUAAUUAGUUCAUUCAUUAUUGUUUAUUGUGAGAUAUUUAAUGUCAAAACAGGAUGCCAAACCAAGGUUGAUACGAUGGAUUUUGCUACUUCAAGAAUUUAACUUGACAAUCAAGGACAAAAAGGGCGCUGAAAAUGUUGUUGCAUAUCAUCUUUCAAGACUUAUGAAUGAGUCUUCAAUUGAAACAACACCCAUCAAUGAUUCUUUCCCUGAUGAAUUUUUAUUUUCUAUAAACUUAAUGCCUUGGUAUGCUAAUAUUGUUAAUUAUCUUGCAACAUGUGAAAUGCCAUGUGACUGGAGUUCCUAGGACAAGAAGAAAUUCUUAACAGAAGUAAGAAGCUUUUACUGGGAUGAUCCAUACAUGUUCAGGUACUGCUCUGAUCAAAUUUUUUGAAGAUACAUACUAGACGACGAGGUAAGUAGGGUCAUUCAAUUUUAUCAUUCUGAAGCAUGCGGCAGCUAUUUUUCUUCAAAAAAGACAGCUGCAAAAAUAUUAUUGUGUGGAUUUUAUUGGCCUACAUUAUUUAAAGAUUCACAUGCAUUAUGUAAAGUGUGUAAGAAUUGUCAAAUGGUAAGGUUUAUUUCAAAGCGAAACAUGAUACCUUUAAACCCCAUUCUUGUCAUUGAAAUAUUUGAUUGUUGGGGAAUUGAUUUUAUGGGUCCUUUUCCAGCAUCAUUUGGAUUUGCAUACAUUUUGGUUGCUAUUGAUUAUGUUUCAAAAUGGAUCGAGGCAAUUCCUUAUCGGCAUAAUGAUCACAAGAUUGUGAUCCGUUUUUUAAAAGAAAAUCUUUUGAGCAGAUUCGGAAUACCUCGAGCCAUUAUCAGUGAUGGAGGUAAGCAUUUUUGUAAUAAGAGCAUUUUUGUAAUAAGUCAUUUGAGUCCUUAAUGAAAAAAUAUAGAAUUACACAUAAAGUUACUACCCCUUAUCACCCUCAAACAAGUGGUCAAGUUGAAUUAGCAAAUAAGGAGAUAAAACAAAUUUUAGAAAAGAUAGUUAAUCCAAACCGUGAAGAUUGGUCUCUUCAACUAACUGAUGCAAUUUGGGCAUAUCAUACUGCUUUUAAAACAUCUUUAGUAAAGUCACCCUAUCGGCUUGUUUAUGGAAAAUCUUGCCACUUACCAGUUAAACUUGAACAUAUAUCAUUUUGGGCCAUUAAAGCUUUUAAUUCAAAUCUUGAUAAUGCUGGUAAUGUGCGUAAAUUGCAAUUAAAUGAACUUAAGGAAUUAAGGAAUGAUGCAUAUGAGAAUUCCAUAAUUAUUAAGGCAAUGACCAAUUUUUUUCAUGACAAAAGAAUUUUUCGGAAAACAUUUGAAAUUGGUUAAAAAGUGUUGCUUUAUAAUUCUCGUCUUCAUUUAUUUCCAGGAAAGUUAAAGUCAAAGUGGAAUAGUCCAUUUGUUAUAAAAAAUGUGUAUCCAUAUACAGCCGUAGAAAUUGAGAAUCCAAAUGAUGGUGUCACAUUUAAAGUUAAUGGUCAAAGAUUGAAACCAUAUCUGGAAUACCAACCACGUGAAACAGAUACUGAAAUCAAUUUAAGUGACCCACCAAAUUUUAAUUGAGCCUUUUCAUUUUAACUUUUUGUGAAUUUGAUUUACUGUUACUUUAUCGUUUGAAUUAUUUGAUUUUUUUUUCCUUUUCCCUAUGUCUUCAAUAGAGUGCAUUGCAUUAUUUUUAAUUGUGUGUUAUUUGACAAUUGUGCUUUAGCUCACCAAAUUUUUAUACUUAUCAUGAGUACCUCCAUCAGAAGUUUCAUUUUCGAUCAUCUUAAAGAGCUUUUACAUGUAAAAGUUUACCUAAGGAAAUUGCUCUGAUUUUGUAAAUCACAUCCCAUUUGGGAUCUACAACCACCAGAGUUAGUAUCCCACGUGAAAGAUCUAGAAAGACAACGCAAGGAAAUAGAUGAUGGUAUUUAUAAUCUGCAAUUGGAACUGGAGGUAAUUCAAUAAAAGGACGAAGGUGAGUUAUAUUCCUUGUGUGUUUUUGUUUUAUUUUGUUGUUCUUCUUCACUUUUGAUUUGAUUUUGCAGAUUUGAUUCAUUUUGUUUUGAUUUAUUCUCCGGUAUAAAUGGCAUAUAAUGGUACUCUGUGACUUUUUAAGUCAGUAUUCUCAGUUUCCCACAAUAACUGAAACCUCAAUGUCCGGCAUGGAAGAAAUACAACGAAAUCUACAUCAACAUUUUCCUUCUCUCCCUCAAAAUGCUCUUAAGAAGAUUUACAAAGCUCGUUGUGAAUGAUGCGUUUGUUAAUGAUCAAUGGGAUUCCUGUUGACAUUCGCUGGUUAAUUGAAGCAAAGGUCCAACUGGCAGGUGAGUUUUCUGAUUCAUUCAUUUCCUACAUGCCGGGUUUUGGUAAAAGUACAUUUGCUUAUAAAAGAAGAGCUAAGCGACUUGGUUCUGAAUGUUCUCACUGUGUAAGACUUGCUUGCAAAAAGCCACGUUGUAAAACUUUAGGAAUGGUUUCUGUAAAUCAUGAAGAUUAAAUCAAAUUCGUUAAAGAUGACAUGAGUAAAGAAUCGUUGGAUGAUAUCUUACAAUCUCUUGCGACGCAUCCGAGCGGAUAUGUUUUACGUGAAAUUCAAAAUUUGUGGAAGUUGUUCCAAAAGGAAAGCGCACAAUUUAGUCUUGGGAAUCUAACUCUAAAAGACCUUGUUUGCCAGUUUAUAAGAAAAUUGGAUGGGAAGUCUAUCCUCAACCCAUAGAGGGCAUUCGAGCCAUUACUGGACGUAAAACCAGAGGAAGAUGUGAGCCACAAUCAUAACUACCAGUAAAUAUCCUUUUAUUUUACUGUUCUUUUAUCUUUUGCAUUAUUAUUAUUAUUGUGUGUCUUUUUUUAUAUAUAAUCACGUCUUUUUUUAUAUAUAAUCAUUGUUUGCUUUUUCUUUUCACUGUUUGCCUUUGAAUUAUUAAGCUAAAAGUUUCACGCAUCAUUUGACAAACACACCACCCCAUUUACAGAUGUAUAUCAUUAUGUACGUCACCAAGAUCCUUAAAUAGGAGCUCAUUUUCAAGCACUCACAAAUUGUUUCUUUUUAUAAUUUUUCUAAUGGCAGCAACUUCAAGCAGACAACUAAAGAACAUUUAUGUGCUUUAUAGAUUUCGCUAUGGAAAGUAUAAGGAGUUUGUUUAGGCAUCCAUAGAUCUUGGUCGUGUUAUAGCGGAGAGGAAACUUCAUCUUGUAUAUGGAGGAGGUGACCGAGUGUUAUCAAAACUUAUCUCUGAAGCUGCUUUCAUUCGAGGAAGCCAAGUGUUAGGCAUUAUUCCAAAAGCCUUAAAACCUUUAGGAUGUCUACCAAACACACCAAUUGGAGAAGAGUUAGUUAUCUCAGGUAUGCAAGAAAGAAUAUCUGAAAUAUUAAAUCAUGCUGACGCUUUUAUUUUCUUGCUAGGAGACCUUACAACUUUAGAGGCGCUAAUUACAUUUGCUUCUUGGGCCUAUUUGAAUAUCCAUAAAAAAUCCAUCGGUUUGUUAAAUGUUAAUAACUUUUAUGAUGGCUUAAUAACAUUUCUUAAUCAUGCAAUUAAAAAUCAUUUCAUUCCAUCCUCAGCGAAAAAACUCUUCAUUUGUGCUCCUACUGCUAAUGAGUUACUUGAUCUUUUGCAAGCUUACAAACUAAAGCCAGAUCCCAUGACUUUGGCGUUGGAUUGGGCAACUGAUGACGAUGGUAGUAACUCUCGUAAAAAGUGUAAAUUAGAUUUAACUCUCUGUUUGUAAAUAUUUCCAGUAGUGGCCAAGUGAUAUAUUCUAAACUCUACUCCUUUCUUUAGACAUUGAGGACAAUGUCUCCUUCAUGUUGGAGGGAGGGAAUAACUGACAAUUGUGGAAUAUCUCAGUCCUGGUGAUGUUUUUUAUAAUUUUUAUUGUAAAAACUAACUUUGGAUAAAUAUUUAAGUCGAAGAUGGUAGAAUAUAGAAUGUAGUGUCUCUAAAAACGCAUCUUUUUAAAUUUAGUGUUUUGUUUUCCCCAAAAAAAAAUUGUUUUUUAACUUUUUUUUUCUUUUUCUCUUAAUUAUCUUCCUUAAGUUUCUGCAAUCAGUCCCAAUUUUUUAGUGUUUUCUUUAAUUAAAAAAGAUUUCUUUUUUUAUGUGAUCUUUUAACAUUGGAUAACAUGAUGAUUUUCAAAUUUUGGUAUUCAUAUUAUCUUUGGCAUUGAGUUAUGUUACACUAUGUUUUCCCCUUUGCAUGUUGAAACGUAAAUUGAGAAAUUGGAUGAGUGAAAUUGAUUAAGUCAUUUGGAGGAAUGUACAUGUUAUGAAAAGUCCAAGUGAGUUUUUGAGCCUAUUAUCCUUGGAGAGUAACCAUGUUUGCCUAUACAACUUCACAAUUUAUUGUACAAGAUCUCAAUAUUUUCUUUAUAAAAAAAGUAAAAAAAAAAAAAGAGAGUUUGUGCAGCCGCAUCUAAAAGUCCAUUGAACUAGUGGAUAUGAAAGAUUAUUUAAAGCCCUAAAAAAUGACAGAAGGUCAUCUUUGAUCCGUUUGAGAUUUUCUAGCCAACCCUGUUACAAAGAAUCCAUAGUUAACCCCUUUAAGCCUUUGAAAAAAAAAAUUUCUCUGAUAACCUAUCAUCUUUUCCUACUCCAAUGUGGAGUAUAACCUUAUGUUUUAUGUUUUCCAUCACCCAAUUAUGUUUGAAAAUAGGGAUGAUUAUGUAUUCAUAAUAAUGGUGCUAUGAAAAAAAAAGAAUAUGUAUAUAAAAAUAAAAAUUUAAAAAAAGAAAAAAAUUCCAAAAAAAAAGCACCUUGUAAUCUCCAAAAAGUCCCCUAUUUUUCAAACAUAUAUUUUUAUUUUCCUUAUUACCUUUUUUGUUAGCCAUAACCCUAGCUUACGUUAUAUCCUAACAAAAGUCCUUGAUUUUAGGGAACUAUAGUCUGAAGUAAAGCUGGUGAUAUGGAUUAAAAGACGUGGUGAUGCAUAAAAAUAAAAAUAGAUUUUGCUAGUAAUUCCUUGGACUUGAGAUCAUUUUAUUUCUAAGCUGUGGGUAUCAUUUUUUUAUCUUGGUGAGAGCGUGUGAUAUUGUUUUAUUAUUCUCUCAAAUCUACCAUUUUAAGAGUGACAGUUUAAUUUGGGAUAUAUUUUUUUUUAGAGAGUCAUUCUUAAUCGUGAAGUUUUGGGGUUUGAUGUAUCAUUCUUAAAAGUGGCUUGAUUAACGUAGCUCUUAUAAUUGAUCAUUUUACAGGAUUUUACUGAACUGUUUUGUGCGGGUGUGAUUUUCUUUAGGCUGAAGAUAAUGCUUAUAUUUGUAUUUGAUUGUUGUCACUAAUCUGAUGGUAGAAGUAAACACAAUUUUUCCAAAAAAAAAAAAAAAAAGAUUUUCAAUUUGGUUUUGAAAUUUCUCUGAAUUUUUAUCGCUUAAAUUGCUAAGGUCUAGCAAUAAGUUGGUUGGGGGGUGUGAUUAACACUAAAAAGUGUACGUGUAAUAAGAAUAAAAUUUUUAGUUUUUCACUUAAAGUGUUGAUUAAUGCGUACAUAACUUAUAAAUUAUAUGAAUGCUCCCCAAAUAAAGUUUUGUGUUAAAUUAUUUCGCAAUAUGUUAAUUUUUAUCUUAUAAAUAUUUUCAGGAAUAAAUUGGAAUUGAAAGCGGGAACAAAUAAAGAACUGCUAGAGCAAUUUGGAAGCAUUAUUGAGGAAAUGUAAAUAAAUAAAUAAAAUAAAAUAAAUGAAAAUGAAUAAAAAAUAAAAAAAUGAAAAAAAAAACAAAAGAACAAAAACCAAGCAAUUUGGUUUCUCGUGAUGGUCAUGGCCACUUGACCAUUACACAUUUCAAUGUACAUAUAUAUAUAUAUAUAUAUAUAUAUAUGAUUCCAUACCCAAGAUGCCCAGCUCAUCUUACAAAGGACAUUCAAAGUAAAAUGGUGGUCAAAGUUUGACGAACAGUCUAAAUUGACAGACACUCUAAUCCGCAAUUGGCUCUGUUCUAAAGGCUUCUUACCCCCAACCAUUAAAGCAGUGAAAGCCCAAGAGGCCUUCCUAACCCAAAAAUCCAAAGCCCAAUCUCUGUUGGCCAGUGCCAAAUCUGAAGAAGAAUAUUUUAAAGUCAUGGAGCAGCUCCUCACCUCAAGAUCUUAUAAGGCCUCGAGGGUUUCUUAUAAGGGAGUUCUCUAAAAUUAUGAAAAUGUUUUUUAUGACUUUUAGAUUUGUAAUGUUUUUUGUAAGGCAUUGAAGAGCACUUACUAUUACAAUCUUUGGAGGUAGAAGUUUUAAAGGGAUCAUAAUUGAAUUGCUUGCAGAAACUGCCUAAUUCUUGCUUAGAUUUCUAUAUAUUAUAAUAACAAAAUAAAUAAAGAUAAUGCAUUCCUUGCCUAUAAAAGGGCAAGGAAAUGCAGGGAGAAGCUAGUAGAGGAGGGAGCUGAGUUCUGAGAGAGAGUGAUAGCCAAGGGUGUAGCUAAAGAAUUUCUUUCUUUCUUUGUCCAUUCACGAGCAUAUUAAGAAUUGAAGAAGCCUGCGGAUGUGUUUAAGAUUGCUGAGUUGUUGAAUGGACAUGUGUUUGUUAAUGAAAAGGGUAAUUUUGCUUACCCUUUUGCUUUUACUUAUCAAUCUUAAUUUGGUAUGAAUGCGUUUAUGUUGUUUAAAUUGAAAAGGGCACUUUAUGUUUGGUUAAUUAUAUGUGUUAUUGGGUUCUCCAUUAGGUGCUCAUUUUAAGGCUAUUGUUGAAUACGCUUCAUCUCAACGUGUUCUCAAACCUUGUUCUAGAGAGGAUAGUCGUGAAAGCACCAUUUUUAAAAGUAAUUAUUUAUUUUUUAAAAAAAAAAUAGGCUACUUUUGGGGUGGAGGUGCUGUGGCUUUUACCAAUACACUUAAGCUACAAAAUUUCAAAGUUAAGUAAAAGCUCAACAAUUACAAGCAUACUUUUAUUUUCUUUAUCUUCUUAUUGUUUUUAGAAGUACUGUAGUAUUAAGCUAUAUUUGGUUUGAUUUGGACAAUAAAGACCCGGAUUAUCUGGAGUUCCUGAAGGUUAUUGCUAAACCUGCUGAGAAUCUACCAAGUGUAGAAAUUCAGUAGGAAAGAAAAGAAGCUGAGCUAUCUGGUUAGUUAUUUUUAGAUGAAUUUGAUUAAUAGAACCUGUUGUUCCUAGUGUGUGUGCGUGUGUGUAAAUGUAUGAAAUUUGAGCUAUAAAAUAAAUAAAUUCUGGCACUGUUACUGAGAUCAAUGCUCAGGUAAGUAAUUCACUAAUUUAAGUUAUAAAUUCAGGCGUUGCUAGGAAUAUAUAUUAUUAUGAAAAGGUGAAAAAAAAACAGGUUAUUAUCAUUUAUUACCACAUAGCUAGCAUUGAAAUAUAAAGUUCCCAAUAAAAAUUUAACUUCUCCCAUUACAUGCGACCCACGGAAACAGUACUAUCAGCAGGAGUGAGCAAAGCUACAGCAGCAAAUUCAAAUGUCACAGAAUUCUAACAGGUAUUUUCAAUUAUUUCAUCAACAACUAUUUUCAUAUUAAGCAUAGUUAAUUAAUUUUUUUUUUUAUAUAUUAAUCACGAGGUAUCCUGGAGAGGGCCCCAACUGUGGGAGGCACCUUUAAGCCCGUACCACAACCCAGACUAGUAGUCCCCGCUCGAACCGAGAGGCACAGGUUCUCCCAACAAAUGCGACUUCCCUGCGACUCGAACUAGGGAGCAAACCCAGUCAAGCCACUUAAGGGGACUCCAUUGCCAGUGGAGCCAACACUUUGUUGAUAUAGUUAAUUAAUUAUGCCAAAAUAUACAAUUUCAAUUGAAUUUUCGAUUGGUUAUCUCACUUUUGACACUUCAUAUAGGCAUUUGAUGGGUGAUUCUCUGAGUUCUUUAACUGUAAAGGAGCUUAAGCAACUGGAGAACAGGCUUGAGCGAGGCAUCACUAGGAUCAGGUCCCGGAAGGUAAUUAAUUAAUUGCAUUAUGCAUGCAUGAAAUCGACCGAAACAAAUAAUUGAAUUUGAGCAAUACACAAUUGUUUUGCAAUAAUACAUUGCAUAAACUUUAUCGAUAUACGUUCAGUAUAUGUAACUUAUGUCAUUUUAAAAAUAAUUUGUUGCAAUUUAUGUCAUUCUGUGCAACAGCAUGAAAUGCUGCUACCUGAAAUUGACUUCUUGCAGAAAUGGGUAAUAAUUAAAAUUCAUUAAAUCCUGUUUAGCCAUUUUUUCGUUUUCUUCCAAGCUUUUAUGGAAAUCUUUAACAUUUUCAUUUUCAUAGGAGGUUGAGCUGGCAAAUGAAAGCGUGUGUCUCCGAUCAAAGGUAUGCAAAUCAGUCCAUUGUAUGUAUAAUGCAUUUUUUCUCGCCCUCUUCCAAAAUUUCAGCACGUUAUUAAAAUUACAUUGUUUCUGAAACUCAGAUAGCAGAAAUGGAGAGGUUUUAGCAAGCAAACAUGGUGACUGGGCAAGAGCUGAAUGCAAUCCAUGCAUUAGCUUCUCGGAUUUUCUUCAGUCCUCCUAUCAUCGAGGGUGGUGGCACUGCUUACUCUCACCCGGACAAGAAGAUACUCCAUCUCAGGUAAUUAAUUCUCCCAUCGCAUUUCAUUUCUACACGCUCGUGUUGCGUGUGCAUUAAUGUUUUCUCCCGUUUGCAGAUAAGCUAGAUGCUGGAGAUCAAGCUUGUGGCAUCUCAGUGCGAGAUCUAUGAUCAUACUACAUUAUCUACUGAAUGUGUGUGCUACUUGAUACCUAUUUUUGAAACCAGCAAUAUAUGAAACUGGAUGAGUUUAUGUGUAACCUAAUUACUUACGCUGACUUAUCAUUGGCUUCUUCUCCUUGGAAGACCAAUUAUUAUGCUGAAACUCAAUAUCUAUAAAACUGAUGCUGUAUAAUGUCGAAGGAUUUGCAGUAUGUAUAAGGUAAAUAAAGAUUGUGUCAUAUAUGCAUAAAUAAAUAUUGUACUUGAUAAACCUAGACUAUCAGCUAGUUGAAGUUUGGUGUGAAUCGAAGAAGGGUCAUAGGUUUGGUGGUUUUAGGAUGCGUUUGGGAUUGAAGUUGGGCAGUUGUAGCUUCAGUUGUAGCUUAAAAUCUACAACAUUAAAGUGUUUGGUAAACACUAGCUGUUGUAGCUUCAAAGCUAUUUUGAUAUGAUUUUUCACUUGUAUGAUGAAAAAUCUAUUAUAUCUUUAAUAAUUUUAUCAAAAUUAUUAUUAAAAUUUAUAUCUACUAUGCACUAUUAACUUUUAUUUCAUAAUUAUAGUUUUUUUUAUACAGCAGUUGUAGUUUAAAAGUUACAGCACCUCAAUCUCAAAUAGGUUUUUAUUGCAACUCUCUUAGAUGUUAGGAUUACCCUAUUAUGUGAAAGGAGUAAAUAAUAUACAAACAAACUAUUUAUACAAAGUGAUAUGACAUUAGAAGAGCGAAAACAAAAAAGUGAAGGUACAAGUGAACUCGAGUGUAUGUUCGAGUUUUUGGGAAAAUCAUUGAUUGCUAAAAGGGCAUAUUUUGGGUUGUAUCUGUUACAAAUGUGGAAACAAGAUAGCCGGAGGAGAAAAAGGAAUCAAAUCUCUUUGGAUUCACCGUGUAAGAAAAGAUUCUAAGCGGCUCCAUAAAAGAAACUUCAUUUGAUGUCAAUACAAUUUUUCCAUACUAUCUUAAGACCGCACUCGAGAUUGGACUGGGAACAUUUACAUAAUAGAGGAUACAAGCUUCUUGACUGUAGUAAAACACUAAGAAUAAAUGCAGUAUUAACUUCAAAUAUUAUCUGAAAAGGUACGGGAGACGGAAAAAAUACACUUUAGAUGAUUUUCAUGCCAAUGGCAUAUAGUGCCUGCAGGUGAUUAGGUCAAAGAAUGGCACACCCUCCUUUUUCAGCUCCCUUACGGAGCUCCUCAGUCUCCCUCUGAGCUCUUUCAAGAUUCUCUCUAAGCUUACGAAUUUCGUCAUUCGACUUCAUUUGAGCUAAUUGUGCAACCUCUUCUGCCUUUAAUCGAGCAGCUUGCUCCUCUGCCAAUUGUUGUUCGAGCCUAGUUGUUGUCUCUUUGAGCUUAGACUCAACCUAUCAAAAAAGCAUCAAUAUCAGUCAGAAAACAAGCCACUAAGCCCUAGAGUAGCAGUAUAAUAUAAACAAAGAUUGGGUAAUGGUAAUAUAAAACUCCAACUUAAAAGAAGAAAAUUCUUAAGUAUUAAUUUAGUUUAAUCCAAUCGCAAAGGGAGUUGCUAAGUUCACCUUAUUCGGCACAACUUUCUUCUCUCAAUCAUUGACAAAUGGUAGAAACAAAAGCUUAAAAAAAUAAACAGAUAAACCCAAAAUAUAAGGUAUUAAAGAAUAUACUAACUUUUUCAUUUUGCCACACUCCAGGAUUGUGGAGAGUAAAACUUAUUAGCACAUCAGACACAGUACACAAACCGUUACAGCAAAUCCAGAUUAAUGUUGAAUAUAAAUUAAAACUGUGGAAAGGAAUAUUUAAACUACACAGCUAUUUGAUUAGGUUCCAUGUACCUAACUAUAUUUUCCAAAAAACUUAUUUUGAAUGUGGCUAUUCUGUUUUUAACAAAAUUAGAAUAUGACAUAACUUGCUAAUAACAUUUCAAAUGUUCCCACAGAUUCGGGAGUGCAAAAUUCCUAGAACCAAAACAGGAUCUACAGUAUUACAAGAAAUGUUCUUAUUAUUGAUGACUAAACAAGUGUAGAAUCCAUUCCUAAGUGCAAGUCAUGAUGAGCAAACCACCUAUAGCUACUACUAUAGAGCAAUCUACUUAAUUUCAUCAAGAAACAAAACAGAACAAGACAGUCAAACAAUCUUGAAGGUAAGAACAAUAUGUUACAGCUUUCAAAACACUAUCAGUGAACAGAUAACUUAAUAACAAAUUUGUCCCUAUCAACUAGCAAGAUAAAACCUCUUUUCAGAUGGCAAUCUCUAACAAUCUAGGGGUAAGGACACAGCGGCAGUCUUUACCUCCUCCAAGUCUCACAAUUUAGAAUAUCAUUACAGGUACCUGCACACUUUAUAGUAAUGAAGUCACCUUCAACUCAGCAAAGAUAUCGUCUGUAUAUGGCUGCCCACCAUUCUGCACGGCCACAGAGUUAACCAGAGAAAGAAGCUUCCAAACCUGCUCAGUUCUCUUGGCCUCAUCCUUGGUCUUGUUAUCAAAAAGCACGCGCCUAUUAUCACAUAGUUGAAGGAUUUCCUAAAAUAAUGGAAAAAUGAUCAGGAAUAAAGCAAAUGUUGGCCCCUUUUGUAAGCAUUGAUAAACCAAUCAAACACUUGUAGUCUCUAAAAGUUUGAAAGUAUUCAGCUGACAAAAUUUGUUUUUAUUGUUAUCAUUGAUACUUAAUAUCUUGCAUCCUCAAAAACUAUUUAAAAGCAAGCCAUAAUCAAAUUUUAAUAAUUAAUUCCAUUCUCCUUAUGGGUUGACCACUUAGAAUAAGGUGAUCAGCAUUCCAUAUAACAGAAAAUAAUAAUAAUAAUAAUAAUCUGCAUAUAUUCCAGUGAAAAGCAUUGACCCAAUCAAAAUUAGUGGCUACAAAGCAGUAGUUGCCUACUCACAAAUUCUUACAUUAUAGAACAAAGCCUGAAAGAUUGUACUAUUGUCAUAAACAAACUCAAGUGACCAAAGCUCAAACCAAAAGACAUGAUCAUAUUUUCUGUGGCAUCUACAUAAUUGACAAAAUUUUGCGGCAUUAUAAUUAAAAAAUUUUGAUUCCUUCAAACUACAAAAAUUACUACAAUAAGAAAAACAAAGCUCACUUUAACUGUAAAAUAACCCGAUUUUGUUAAUUGCAAAGCUACAACUUGAAGGGUCUUUAUCUCCAUUUUUGUUGUUUUUCUUCCAACUCCUCAUAGGUUUAAUCAAGUAUGCAGUAAAAUAGAGGAACUCGAUAUAAAUCUUUCUCAACUUAAAAAGUUUUAGGAAACAAAUUCAUCAAGUAAAUGCUGAAUAUAGGAGAUUUGCAUGUUAAAACUGAAAAGCGAUCUCACAUUGAAAUUUUAGACACCAAUUCUGAGGCUAGAAUCCACAGGGAUUUUUAAGAGAAUUUUAAAUCUUGUAAAGUUAGACUUGAUAUUCUAUUCAAACAACACCUAAUAAAAUGGACCUGUAUAGCAAGUCAUGUCCUCGUUGGCGCACUUCUAAAAUCUUAAAAGUAGGUUAAUUUUAAGCAUAUAAAUCAAUGAUGUACAUAUUUUAAGGAACAAACAAAUGAACACACAUUAAUAGAAUAAGAACCAAAGAUUAAAUAACAGAUGAAAUCAAAGAAUACAAAUAAGAAAAGCAUAAAUGCUUGGCAAAUGAAUGAAUGACAUCUCAUUCAAAGACAUUAAAAUAUAACUAAAAUUAAGUAAUGCCAGCAGAAAAUUACCAACCAAUCACCCCCUCCGGCCAAUACCCCAUGGCAGAAGAAAAUCAUUCAGGAAAUGAAGCAAUAUUGAAUGUGGAACUUUAAGACGGCUGGACUACUAUGAACCUGUCUAGUAUUUUCAGCAUGGAUAUAUUCAUAUUAAACUUCCAAUAGUCCAACCGUAAAGGAGUCUAAAACUUCAAAAAGGAACCAACCCAAGACAACUUGAUCAAAAUGACUAAUGAAAUUAUCAAACACUAUUGCCGUUCAGAAACAAACCUUUAAAGGCUUUGGACACUCACGACCCAAAUAAUCUUCUAACGUUUCCUCAUUAUCUUCAAGUUCAUCCCCUCCAGUGAAAACAACAAUCAUAUAGUCAAAAACUUUUUUCCCGAACAAGGUCUGCCAACUGUGUAGUGCAGCUUCUUCCUCUUGAGGAAAACGGCUUCUAACAGAGAAACCUACAAGGACUGCAUGGAUCCCAUCCUUGGCCAGACCGAUACAUUUGACAAUUUCCAUGCCGACAAACUCAGAGCCAGCAGAAAAAUCAAAAAGUCCUGCAAUUGCUCAUAACAUCAAUCUACCCUUUUUUUUUUAUUACGAUAACAUCAAUCUACUUACCACCACAACAUCAACAGGCAUGGAAAUGGAAUAUCUAGGCAACGACAUUAGUAAAUUACCGGGGGUAUCAAUGACAUUAACAACUUGGCCAUCUUUGAGCACGGUUCUCUGCAUUUCACAAGUACUAGUAACACCAGACGAGCUAGCCCUCGACUUGAAGGCUCUUCUUCCAAGAAUACUGUUGCCCGUCGCACUUUUGCCAUUGCCAGUACGGCCAACAAAAACCACAGUGCGCACCCCAUUAGAUGGAGAAGUAAGCUCCCAAUCAUCAUCAAUCGCACUUCCUCCCAUCGUAUAAAAAAUUUCAAUUUACCUGCAAUGCAUUUACAAUAUCAGACCACUUCAUAUUGAAUUCAGUCUUUAUCAUUAAACAAUAAGAAACAAGAUUUAGUUACCAUCCCUUACAAUUUCACUCCAUUAAAACCUAUGUUUGUUAUUACUUUAAAUAUUAUCCAACCGAACACGAAUAAAUUCGUAAAAAUAUUAAAAAUAAAAAUCAUUCAGACCACAACAAUAUAAUUGAAUUUAAAAUAUUGAUAAAAAUAUGAUGGUAUUGAUAUACAAUCAAGCACAGAAUCUAAACAGAAUCCGUUGAUUAAUUAAUUAUGGUGGUAUAUAAUUUUAUUUCAUUUCUGUUGUUUUGCGAAAUUAUUGAACAAAACCACGACCAAUCAGUUACGCAUUGGAUUGAACCCUUGACUUCUUACUUCUGGAAAUUGAUAUGUUGGAGAUGCUCUAAGUUAGAGCAUAACCAACAUAGCAGGAUCCCUUACUUCUACAAUAAAUAAAUAAAUAAAAUCUAUAUAUUGGCUAACGAAACUUUUUAUAAAGUUAAAACUGUAAGGUACGUCUUUCUUUCUUUCUUUUUCUUUUUUUUUUUUUUUGGUUUAAAAUUAAUAAUUUUGGGCAUUGGCUUAAUACUUUAAGCUUGUAAUUCAGUGAAACAAUAAUUACACAGUAUUAGAGACAGUGUUAGUGGUGUUCAAUUUUUUCCUCAAUCAGCUUCUAUCAGUUAAGAUUUUUCACUAGUUUUGGUCCUUAUUACAAAAUUUUAAUGGUUUCACAAAUACAGUAUCAAAACAAAUAAAGUUUCACAUUCAAAUUCUUACAGAUUUAAGUACUGUGUCAAUUGCAAUUAAUUUUCGAACCCAUUACCUUAUUAAUCUCUUUAAAUCUACAUGACUUCUAAUACCGAUUCCGCUCGAUGUGAAUUGGCAUUCAUCACUAUCAUGGUCUAUAAUAACUUAAAUUUUGUAUCCAAUGGGUUAAAUUGAUUAAUGUUGUAUCACUACAGUUCAAUUGCUACACACGUUUCAUGCAUGUACCAUACAUCUCAAAUUAAGAUGACUCCCUAGACGUUCAUCAAAAGUCUUAUAACACUGAAACAUAUUUAUCAAUGAAUGCUCUUAUCAAGGUACAAAAUUUCAACAACAAUCGUAUAAAAUUUGCAGGAAGCAGCAUAAUGAUAUUCACAAGAUUGUCGUCUCUCUCUCUCUCUCUCUCUCUCUCUCUCUCUCUAUGUAUAUGCUAUACACCCCACUAAUAAAACAUACAAUUAAUUCAACGUAUAUACAAACUUGAAAAUUGGUACUCACUCACCAUUGACAAGACCAAAAUCCAAAACAUAAAAUCUUUCUUGGACAAAUACGUCGAAAACAAAAAACGCUAAUUUUUUCAAAGAUAUUUUUUAUCGACUAAGCAUCCAAAUGGUGGUACUGUAGUUAGAUUCUACUCGAGGGUAUGUUAGUCAAUCUCAUUUGUGACAAAGCAAAAAUUAUUAAAAAAAGAAAAAAUUGCAGUUUAAUAUCUUCACUGUGGCAUCCAAAAUUUGACAAGUUUUUCAAGAUCCUUAAGUAUGCUUCUUCUUCUUUUUUUGGCAUAUAUUUUUUAAUAUUUUCCCAAUUGUUUUGAGACGCUGGCUUUUUAGUUUUGCAGUCUGCAGAUGCUUGAAAACGUACGAAAUGGUCAUUUAUUAGCAGUAAUUUGUUGUCAUAAACUUUUAACAGAAAUAUUCAUUCUCUCAUAAUGGCUUUUGGAAGAAAAUUUUGGUUGUUUGACUUUAAGAUUUAAGGAGAAAUAAGUGUUAAGAUUUGAAAUCCCUAGAUCUAAAAUCUCUUCACUGGUAACAGCUGUGAUCUUCUAAACAAUUUAGAAAAUUAUGCUUUGGUAAUUUGUUUGGAUGCUAUCAAGUUCACAUGAGUUUGAGAUUAAUGAAGGCAGUGAAGUACUCAUACAUAUAUAAUCGAAAUUAGACUUCAAUGAUGGUAUAGCCUGGUUAAUUACUAAUUAGCAUCUUGAUUUAAAACCCACAUCCGUAACUUUCCUUGGAAGAUCUAAAAACCUUUUUUUCUUGCAGUCUGAAAUUGCAAGAUAAAUUCAUCUAUAAUUGAAAUUGGACUCCAAUUAGCUAGCUUCGUUAAGGGUGACUUAGGUGUCGAAAAGCACCCCAAGUAUCUUGAUUCAAACCAUGUCCCAUAGUUUUCUUUAGAAAAAUGUAAUUACAACUUGUUUCUUUGCACUGUAUUGAUAUUGCCCGUUUUAGGAUUUAGGGGAGGCCUUAUGCUUCGUAAGAAAUGAUUAUAUAUAUACAUAGAGUCAUUCUCUCAUACAAGUGCCCCCUUUUUUUUUAUGCAGACACGUUGUUAAAUCAUGUGGUUUAAUAAAGUGUCCGCAUUAAAAAAAAAAAUGAGGGCACGUGCACCUGAGAAUAAUUUUAUAGAUACACACACACACAUAUAUAUAUGUAUAGAGAGAGAGAGAGAAGUCUAGUAACCUAAUUUCAUUUAUGAUAACAUUUUUAAAAACUCAAUCUCAUCGUGUGUGAUUAAAUAGAUUCUACAUGAGAGUGUCCAUCAAAACUUGUCUUUAAACUAACAUUGGGAUCAUUUUUCUUUUACGUCCACAAGAGCAUCCAUUAAAAUUUGUUUCUCUCAGGUCUUUAUUUUCCUCCUUGGUAUAUUUUUAAGAAUUUACUCCCAUUUUUUAACUCUGUUUUACUCUUCCAUUUUUUAAGAAAUCUCAAUUUUAGGUUUUUUUUUCCUUUCUUUCUUUUCAAGGUCUCUCAUGUUUCAUAUCUUAGAGAAUCCAAAAUUUCCAAUGAAAGCUUUUCUUCUUCUCUUUCUUUUAUAGCCCCAUGAUACAUUAGUUUAAUCAUUUGUUGAUUCUCCAACAAAGUAGUAUUAGAGCUAGUGUUCGAUGCUAUAUAUAAUCAUAUAGCAUAUCAAAUGGAAGAUCUCGAUGAGAGGAACGUAAUGCCACAAAACUCAGCCCGAUCGGAGGCCGAACUCACCCACACUCACUGCCAGAAGUUUUAUGUCCUGAAGUUGAGUCGACUCACCGAGUUGAACCAAGCUGAAACCAACCGAACCAAGUUGAGCCGAACUGAACCAAGCCGAGCCGAGCUGAACCGAAUCAAGUCGAACCGAGCCAACUAGAACCGAACUAACCCGGAUCGAACCAAGUCAACUACACUACAGUUGACCAUUGACCGACAUUGACCAUUGACCAAAAAUUGAUCGUUGAUUGAAAAUUGACUCAAGUCCCUUCCAAGGUUUCUCGACGUACCGGAUCCAUCUGUGCAUUCAGAAUCUCAAAAUUCUCACUCAAUUUGUGAGUUAUGGCAAAUGUUGGUAUGAUGUCAUUUCAAGCUCCACAAUUAAAGGGAAGUAAGUUGGACAAUUAGAGUAUUAAAAUGAAGGCUCUGUUUGGUGCACAUGACGUAUGGGAUGUCGUGGAGAAAUGUUUUAUUGUGCCAGAAAAUGAAACCACUUUAACUGCGGUGCAGAAGGAGAAUUUAAAAGACUUAAAGAAGAAAGAGAAUAAAGCAAAGUAUCUUAUCUUUCAAUCAUUAGACGAAUAUGCUUUUGAAAAGAUUACUAGUGUAACCUCCUCAAAAGAAGUAUGAAAGAAACUAAAGACUUCUUACAAAGGAGCGGAGCAAGUUAAGAAGGUUCGUCUCCAAACAUUACAAGGAGAAAUUGAGUCCUUACACAUGAAGUCAUCGGAGUCAAUUUUUUACUACUUUACUCAAGUUGUGACCGUUUCCAAUGAAUUAAAAGGAAAUGGCAAGGAGUUAAAACAGGUAAGGAUCAUUGAAAAGAUACUUCGAUCAGUAGACUUGAAGUUUGACCAUAUUGUUGUGACAAUUGAGGAAACAAAAGAUCUGGAGGAUAUGACGAUCGAGCAACUUCGAGGAAGGUUGCAAGCCUAUGAAGAAAAACUAAAAAAGUAGUAAGGAAUUGAAGAACAACUUCUCAAUAUGGAAUCAAUCCAAAGAAAAGAGAAGAAAGCUCCGACAAUGAGAGAAGGUAUUAUGUUCGAGGUAGAGGUCGUGGUCAUGGACGAGGUUAGAAUUUCAACAACAACAACUCCAAUUAUGCCAACGGAGAAAGCUCAACCAGAGGACAAGGCAGAGGCAAUCCAAGAUCAAGGUAUCACAAAUCCCAAGUAUAAUUGUCAUAAGUUUGGGCAUUAUGCUUCAGAAUGUAGAACUCCAAGUACCAGAAUUAAUGAGAGAGUGAAUUAUGUAGAAGAGAAAAAUGGUAAAGAUGGCACACUUUUACUAGCACGCAAUAACACAAGUGUAGGUCAAGAAAAUACAUGAUAUCUUGACACAGGUGCUAGCAAUCAUAUAAGUAGAAACAUAAGCAUGUUCAUGGAACUAAAUAAAUCUGUGAAUGGCAGUGUUGCUUUUGAAGAUGAUUCAAAAGUACCAGUGAAGGGUAUAGGUAACAUUCUUUUUCGUGCAAAAAAUGGUAGCCACUAAAUAAUUUCGAAUGUUUACUAUGUGCCCAAUAUAAAAAGAAACAUCCUUAAUUUUGGUCAACUUUUGGAAAAAUGCUAUGAUAUUCACUUAAAAGAUUGUAAUCUUUUCUUAAGAGAUGACAAAGGAAAUCUUAUUACAAAGGUAAAAAUGUCGAAGAAUAGAAUGUUUCCUUUAAUUAUUCAAAACGAUGUUGCAAAAUGUCUCAAAAUAUGUCACAAAUAUCCAUCUUAGACUUGGCAUCUUUGAUAUGGGCAUCUCAACUUUGGAGGACUGGAGUUACUAUCUAAGAAGAACAUGGUGAAAGACUUACCAUGCAUCAAUCACCCUGAUCAACUUUGUGAAGGAUGCUUACUUGGCAAGUAGUUCAGAAAGAGCUUUUCAAAGGAAUCAAACUCAAGAGCUCAGAAGCCACUCGGGUUCAUUCAUACUAAUGUGUGCGGUCCAUUCAAGCCAAGCUCCCUUGGUAAAAGUAAUUACUUCCUUCUCUUCAUAGAUGCUUUUUUAAGAAAAAGUUGAGUGUAUUUUUUGAAGCAGAAAUCAGAAGUCUUUGAAGCUUUUAAGAAGUUUAAAGCUGCAGUAGAAAAAGAAAGUAGAUACCACAUUAAAGCCAUGAGAUCUGAUCGAGGUGGAGAGUUCACUUCCAAAGAAUUCGUAAAGUUUUGUGAAGCAAAUGGAAUUCGAUGCCCUUUACCAGUUCUAAAAUCCCCACAACAAAAUAGUAUUGUAGAAAGAAAGAACAGAACCAUCCUUGACAUGGCAAAAAGCUUGCUUAAAAGUAAGAGGCUGCCUAAAGAAUUUUGAGCUAAAGUUGUUGUAUGUGCAGUCUACUUAUCCAAUCAAUCUCCAACAAAAGCGUGUGGGACAAGACGCCACAAGAAGCUUGGAGUGGAAGAAAGCUCGGCAUAACCCAUCUAAGAGUUUUCGAAAGUAUUGCCCGUGUACAUGUACCAGGUGAAAGUAGAACCAAGCUGGAUCACAAAAGUGAGAAGUUUAUUUUUCAUCGGCUAUGACAACAAUUCGAAAGGAUACAAGCUUUAUAAUCUAAACAACGGGAAGAUCGUGAUAAGUCGGGAUGUAGUUUUUGAUGAAAAAUGAGAAUGGGAUUUUGGCUCUCAUGUGGAUGACUUCAACUUAUUUCCCAUUGAAGAAUAUGAUCAUAUACAAAUAAAACAAGUAGAAGAACAACAAGAGCCAACUACUCCACCUAUCUCACCAGCAUCAACCACAUGUGGAGGUUCACUACAAUCUUUCUUAAAUGAAAGAACCGAAGAACGUAUAAGGAGUCUUCAAUACCUCUAUGAGGUAACUGAGAGACAUGAUAAUCUCACUCUUUUUUGCCUCUUUGUUGAUUGUGAACCAAUCAACUUCCAAGAAACCGCACUAGAUAAGAAGUGGAGAAUUACAAUGGAUAAAGAACUUAAAGCCAUUGUGAAGAAUGAUACUUGGGAGCUUACUACUCUUCCUAAAGGUCACAAGGUGAUCGAUGUCAAAUGGGUCUAUAAAACGAAAAGAAAUGCGAAGGGAGAAAUUGAAAUACAUAAGGUGAGGCUAGUUAUAAAAAGCUAUAGUCAAAAGGCUGGCAUAGACUACGACAAGGUAUUUGAUCUUAUAGCUCGACUUGAAACUAUUAGACUUAUUAUUUCUUUGACUGCUCAGAACAAAUGGAAGAUUUUUCAAAUGGAUGUGAAGUCUGCUUUCCUGAAUUGAUUCCUUGAAGAAGUUUACAUCGAACAACCGUUAGGCUAUGUGGUGAAAUGACAUAAAGACAAAGUUUUGAGAUUGAAGAAAACUCUUUAUGGGUUAAAGCAAUAUGGAAUAGCAAAAUUGACAAGUAUUUUCAAGAGAACGAUUUCACCAAAUGCCCAUAUGAACAUGCUCUCUACGUCAAAGAAAAAGCUGGAGACAUUUUGAUUGUGUGCUUGUAUGUGGAUGAUCUCAUCUUCACUGAAAGUGAUCCAAGCUUAUUUGAAGAGUUCGAGAUGACUGACAUCGGACUGAUGACAUAUUACCUCAACAUUAGUCAAGCAAAAGAAUGAAGGCAUAUUUAUCUCCCAAGAAAGCUAUGCAAAGAAGAUUCUCAAAAAGUUCAAGAUGAAUGAUUGCAAGCCUAUAAGCAUGCCAGUGGAAUGCGGAGUCAAGUUAUCCAAACAUUAUGAAGGCGAAGAUAUAGAUCCAACAUUCUUUAAAAGUUUGGUCGGAAGCCUACGUUAUUUGACAUGCACAAGAACAAAUAUCUUUUAUGUUGUUGGACUUGUGAGUCGAUACAUGGAGAAUCCAAAGACCACUCAUUUUAAAGCUGCAAAAAGAAUCCUUCGCUACAUCAAAUGUACAAUUAAUUUCGGCUUGUUAUACUCAUUUUCUAAUGAUUACAAGCUUGUUGGAUAUAGCGGUAGCGAUUGGGGUGGAGAUGUAGAUGAUCGAAAGAGCACCACAAGAUUUGUGUUCUUCAUAGGAGAUACUGCUUUCCAAUAAAUGUCAAAGAAGCAAUCAAUUGUCACGCUAUCCACCUGUAAAGCUAAGUAUGUAGCUGCCACAUCAAGUGUUUGUCAUGCAAUUUGGCUCAAAAAUUUGCUGAAGGAGUUGGGUUUGCCAUAAGAAGAGCCAAGCGAGAUUUUUGUUGAUAACAAAUCAGCAACUGCCCUAUCCAAGAAUCCAGUCUUUCAUGAUCGAAGCAAACACAUAGAUAUUCGCUAUCAUUUCAUAAGAGAGCGUAUUGCAAGAAAAGAAGUACAAAUCAAGUAUGUAAAAUCACAAGAUCAAGGAGCUGAUAUCUUCACCAAUCCGCUCAAGCAAGAAGACUUUGUAAAAUUCAGAAGUUUGCUUGGUAUCACAGGAUCAAGUUUAAGGGAGGGUGUUGGAUCAUAAACUUGAUCUAAGAUGAAUAAAUUCAAGCUCAAAUACAUAAAAGCUUCUUGUGGUAGGUAUGGUAGGUGUGGUUGGUGAACUAGGUGAGUGGUAGUUUUUAAUGAAUGGUGAGGAUUUAUACAGUAGUUGAAUAAAUGAAUGGUUGUGAUUAGUUUGUUUUAUGUAAAAAUACCCCAUCUCCCCUUUGGUUUAAGCAUCAAGUGAAGUAACAAAAAUCUCUAAGGUGUAAAGAGUGAAAAAUAAGAGUUGUUGGUGGUGAGGAGUGUUGUUGAACAAAUAAAAUAAAUAAAAUAGUAUGUUUUUUGAGUGUUUAAUUUGAUGAUUCUCGAAUAUUACUGUCUGUUUCUAGUUCCGGCUUUGGAGGCCUCACUACAAUUUGUUUGCAUUUCUUUAAUGAAAGCAAGCAGGCCAGCUUAGUCCACUUUUUGUUUUUUCUUCAGUUUGCAGUGAUAUAACUCAUUAAAUGAAGUUCUCGUCUUUCUUAUUUUCAUGUUAAGUCAAUAACAAGCAGAAAAAGUAAAGUUGUGAUUGGUGCAUGAAGAGCAAAUGGAUUUUGACAUAAUAUUGCCUUUUCUAUCCAUACCCGUAUUUGAUUGUCUUUUGAGUCCCACUAGUUAUUGUCCCUUUUGUUUACUAUUGAGAUUCUUCAUAACCAAUUCAUUGAUGGAGAUGCUUGGAAAAUGAUCGUCUAAAAUCCUAAUUACGGUAGUGUUACAAUAUUUUUAAUUACGGAAAAUAAUGAUAAUGUCAUCAUCUUGAUAACAUUCAAUGUUUUUUUUUUAUGGAAAGUGCAAUUUCAUUAACAAUAAAACCAGCAAUUACAGCACCGAGAUUAACUAAGAAGGUGGCACAGAACGCCACUCUUCACGACCUGGCAAAGCAUUUUCCGCUCUAGCAAUAAAGUGAGCAAUAGAAUUCUCAGAUCUUUUGACGAAAGAGAAAACAAUAUCGCCUAUAGAUUCAGCAAUACAUUUGCAAUCCAAAACUAAUGAGCCAAAGCUAUUUAGAGGACUCUUUCGAUCGACUAGAGCAUAAAACGCUUGAAGGCAAUCAGUUUCAAUGAUAACCUUUGACAACUUCAUAGACUUCAGCCAAAGAGAGAGCUUAUGAAUGCUAAGGACCUCAGCAUCACGAGGAGAAUAGUUUCCCCUGAUAUUACAACAAAGAGCAGCAACAAAUUUCCCCGAUUCAUCACGGAUAACACUGCCCAGCCCAACUCUUCCCUCAUCAGCAAAAACUGCAGCAUCAGUGUUACAUUUAAGCCAGCCCACUCGAGGAGGAGACCAAGCAAUAGCACCAGCACCUGGAUCACUUGAGACUUGAUUAAACAUCACAGAGGAUUUAGCUAACUGCCAUUGAAACAAAAAAUUACUAGCUGUAUUAACAAUAUGUUUUGCUGUGUCGCAUUUCCCCUGCCAAACCAGAUUAUUCUUGUUGCUUCAUACCUUCCAGCAGACCAUAACAGCAAUCCAACACUGCUCAUUAGUGCAAUUCCUAAACAAAGCUUGAAGCCAAUCCUUGAAUGAUGAAUAGAUACCAAAGAAGCCCACUUUUGAUUGAAUCCAACAAGUUCUUGCAAAAGGACAGUCAACCAGUAGGUGAAAAAAAGUUUCUUUAUCAGAGUUACUGUUGGACCAAAAAUAAAAUAAGUCUAAUAAGGCCCAUCUAAUAAAUUUCCUCCCAAUUAAGCCCACGAAGUGGUGGACAAAUCACCUAGAAUGAUCCUCCUAAGUAACAAGAUUUCAAAGCCCAAAAGGAGCCAAGGUCCUAGAUUCUUAUCCUAAGACAAAUCACUUAGGAUAAAUCAACUAGGUAGCAAGGAUUUAAAGUCCAAAAGGUGCUGAGGUUCUUGACUCCUAUCCUAGAACAAACCUCCUAAGUUUGAAAGCUCUUAUGAUCUCAAGGUCUUAGUAAAAAUAACCUAAGGAUAAAACGUUCAUUCCUCUAAUCAGUAGACAAGUUUGUAUAUCCAUGUGUCAAUCCACAUGGGCACUAGAGGACAAGUGUUACUAAAUGUCACAAGAACAAUGACAUUUGUCAUCAAAAUAACGAGGACCCAAGCCAAAUCAGUUUGGUCGAUAAAUAUGUCUUUCAUUCUCACUAAAAGGUAAGACAAAAAAAAGAGACUCAAAAGGGAAAAAUGCUAACUUUCUCCCUCUAAUCUUUCUCUUUCUAAAUUUAUAUUUCUAAAAGUCCGGUGAUUGACUUGACCAUCGGAGGGUUUACGCCGGCAAAGCCGGCCCUCUGAUCAUUUCCUUGUGUUUGUAGAGUAUCACAAGACAAGGACCUGCUGAUUGCCUAAGGAAGUGGACUCAGAAGAGCAUAUAUAAAGGCCCAUAAAGAUCAGCCCAAAUAAUGAACUCACCAUCAUAAAAUCUAACAAAGAGGAACCCAAGUCCUAAGGGGGUUGUCCUCAGUCGAAAUUUCCAUAUCAUAAGUUGGGACAAAAUUUGCACCAAUAGUUUGGCGCCGUCUGUGGGGAUCUUCCGAUAAAAGUCUUGGAAGCCCUACCAUGAGCAUGGAUGCUAACAAUGAGUACUAUGAGGCUGAUGAUGAAAGUUCCAGAGUGGAUGAGGAUGUUCACUUCCGAUGAAGGAGACGACAACGAGACCUAGAUGAUGAUGAUGUGGUGCCUAUCCAUCCUCCUCCAGAUCCUCAGUUGAAUCCACCUCGCCACGCUAGACGUCGAGGACAGCCUCGUGUUGUUCGACUUCAACAACAAGUUGAUCAGUUGGCUCGUAACUUUAAUAGAAUGUUCGGCCAAUUUCCAGCUCGAGCUGAGGAAGGUGAGAACUCAAGUAGAGGUAAUGUGGUUGAUUCCGGCUCCUCUAGAACAAGGUCUAGAGAAGAGUUAAAUGAAGAUGAUCUCAGGCAUUCCCUUAACCAAAGAAGAUUUAGGAGGAGAAUGACGAGAGAAGGUUUAGACCAAGGAGAGGAAGUCAAAAGAGGAUUACAAGAAAUGAUGCAGAGACUUGAGCAAAUGGUUCGAGAAAUGGGUCCACUUGAUGAUGUAAUAGCAGAACAUGAGCCACCAUUUACUUUUGAUAUAAUGGUGGCAAAAUAUCCACCUAGGUUUCAUUUACCCCGAAUGGAGCCUUAUGAUGGGCAGAGGGAUCCAACUGAGCAUUUAGAAUUGUAUCGCAUCCUUAUGGAAGUGCAAGGAGCAUCACAAGCAAUUCUUUAUCGGGCUUUUCCUGUUACCUUAGUAGGAGCAGCACGAAGAUGGUUCCGAAGGUUGCAGCCACACUCCAUCUCAUCCUUUGGAGAUUUGAGUAGAGAAUUCACCUCUCACUUCCGAAGUGCCCGACAAAGAGGAAAACCAGUGACUUACCUAUUGACCGUCAAACAACAGGAAGGGGAGACCUUAAGAGACUACAUCAGAAGGUAUAAUAAUGAGAUCACCUAAGUAGAUGGUUACGAUGAUGGCAUAGCACUUUCUGGUAUUAUGGAAGGGCUCGGGAUGGGAAAGCUAUGGUGGUUAGUUUCAAAAAGACCACCCACUUCUUACUCUGAGAUGCUUGCGAGAGUUGAGAAAUAUGCCAAUGCGGAAGACAGAUUCAAGAACAGAAAUCAAGAGAAAGGAGAACCAACCAAAGGAAAGAAAAAGAAAGAUGAUCGGAGAGAAAGAAGAGUUGUCAGACCUGAUCCAUCUCUAAGAAGAGACCAAUUUCGUCCUGGGGAACGCUCUGAAGUCCGAGGCAGUCGUCCUCGGUUAGCCUCUCAAUUCACUAACUUUACAGAACUUAAUACUCCUCGGGAGCAAAUUCUCAUGCAGGUAAGAAAUCCAACUUUGUUUAGAACCCCACCUCCUAUGAGGACAAAUCCAUCCCGAAGAAAUCCAAACAAGUAUUGUCAUUUUCAUAAAGAUCAUGGACAUGACACCUCCGAGUGUUUUGAGCUUAAGGAACAAAUAGAAAGCCUAGUUCGACAAGGGCAACUACAGGAGUAUGUAAGAAAUCUCGAGGAUCGAGUAAAGAGUGAGCAACUAGAAUCUUCAAAGAAGAGAAAAGGAAAAAAGAAGGAAGAUAGUGAUGAAAGCAUGUAUGAUGUCAAUCACAUUUGGGGAGGGCCGGCUGUAGGAGACUCCAGGAAGUCAAGGAAAAAUCUAGCUCGCCAAGCAAGACAUGAACCCAAUGGUCCCGAGGUUAAUUUGACUAAUCAAUCUCAAGGAUCAAUGGUUCGUGGUAUACCAAUAAUCUUCUCCGAGGAUGACGCUAGGGGAGUUCAUCAUCCUCACUGUGAUGCUUUAGUCGUCACCCUCCCAGUGGCAAAUAAACGUCUUCAUCGGAUUCUUAUUGAUAAUGGGAGUUCAGCUGAUAUUUUAUUCUUGUCAACCUUCGCUCGAAUGGGGUUAGAAUGAUCACAGCUAAAACCUUACACGACUCUACUUCAUGGUUUCGCAGGAGGAAGUAUAGUUCCUGAAAGAGUUAUAGAGCUCAUAGUGUCUUUCGAAAAAAGCCCAACUAAGGUGACCACUAUGGUUAACCUUAUUGUGGUUUAUCAACCAAGUUCCUAUAAUGUUGUCUUAGGAAGGCCGACUCUUUAUGCUUUAAAAGCAACAACUUCAAUUUAUCAUUAUGCGUUGAAGUUUCCAACUGAAGCUGGGGUUGGAGUCGUGCGAGGAGAAUAAAAAGAAGCAAGGGGGUGUUAUGAGAUAGCGUUCAGGAUGGGCAAAGAAACUCUUCAAAUCACAAGCCUUGAUCCUAGGACAGUAAAAGAUUAUCAAAGGGCGAGCCCAGUUGAUGACUUGGAAGACUUUCCACUUGGUGAAGAUUUGAGUAAAAUCGUGAAGAUUGGGGGUCGAUUGCCUGAUCCGCUGAAGAAGCAGCUUGUUAGCUUUCUGAAAGAAUAUCAUGAUGUGUUUGCUUGGAUGCAUAAUGAUAUGUCAGGCAUUGAUCCUUGGGUAGUGGUACAUCGUUUAAGUACUAACCCAAAGAUGAAACCAAUUCGACAGAAAAGAAGAAGUCUGAACGCCGAAAGAUCUCUGGCCGUAAAGGAAUGAGUAGAUAAACUUCUCAAAGCUGGUUUUAUCAAGGAGGCAAGGUAUCCUGAUUGGCUAGCUAAUGUUGUGAUGGUGAAGAAAGCUAAUGGGAAGUGGAGGAUGUGUGUAGACUUUACUGAUCUUAACAAAGCUUGCCCUAAUGAUAGUUUUCCUUUACCGAGGAUUGAUCAACUAGUGGAUGCUACAGCUGGGCAUGGACUGCUAAGCUAUAUGGAUGCAUACUCAGGAUAUAAUCAAAUAAGGAUGCAUGAACCUGACCAAGAAAAGACCGUAUUUAUCACAUAUCGAGGUCUCUAUUGCUAUAAAGUUAUGCCAUUUGGACUCAAGAACGCUGGAGCCACCUAUCAAAGGUUGGUAAACAGUAUGUUCGUUCAACAAAUUGGGCAUACCAUGGAGGUUUAUGUAGAUGAUAUGCUCACCAAGAGCCUUAACCCUGAAGAUCAUGUAAAAGACUUCCGGGAAACCUUUGAUAUCCUUAGGAAGUACAAGAUGCGGUUAAAUCCAACUAAAUGUGCAUUUGGUGUGUCGUAAGGAAAAUUCCUUGGCUUUGUGGUAAAUCAAAGAGGUAUUGAGAUCAAUCCUGAGAAGAUCCAAGCAUUGGUUAAUAUGAAGUCUCCAAAGAAUGUUAAAGAAAUUCAAAGGUUGACGGGUCAAGUAGCAGCCCUGAAUCGCUUUGUCUCUCGAGCUACAGAUAAGUGCCUUCCUUUUUUUAAGGCUCUUAGAAAAGGAAAAGAGAUAAAGUGGACUGAGGAAUGUGAAGAUCAAAAGCUUAAGGAAUAUUUAGGAAGCCCUCAUUUGCUUGUUAAGCCAAUCCAAUGCGAGUAUCUCUUCAUUUAUCUUGCAAUGUCUGAACAUGCCACUAGCUCUAUCCUUGUCCGAGAAGAUGAUGGAGUGCAAAGGCCUAUCUACUAUACAAGUAGAGGGUUGGUUGAUGCAGAAACAAGGUAUCUAAGUCUUGAAAAGAUUGUUCUAGCCUUGAUUGUUUCAGCAAGAAGGUUAAGGCCUUAUUUCCAAGCUCAUACCAUAAUCGUCCUCACUGAUCAACCAAUUAGACAAGUUUUAGCUAAGCCUGAUAUUUCAGGAAGGAUGACAAAGUGGGCUAUUGAACUUAGGGAGUUUGACAUCUUAUAUCAUCCUAGGACAUCAUUAAAAGGGCAAGCAGUGGCAAACUUCAUUGAUGAGUUUACUGAAGGAGAUAUUAUAUCACUUGAUUCUAAAGAGGAGCAUCAAGAUAAAUGGUCUCUCUAUGUCGAUGGAUCCUCUAGUAAACGAGGAUGUGGUGCAGGUUUUAUAGCAAUCACUCCAAACAAUGUUGAGAUUGGAUGCGCUCUUAGGUAUGGCUUCAAUGCUACCAACAAUGAAGCAGAGUAUGAAGCUCUUCUGGCUGGCCUUAGGCUAGUUCAAGCCUUAGGUGCAAAGGAUUUACUUGUCUUUAGUGACUCUCAAUUGGUAGUUAAUCAAGUGAAUUGCAACUAUACAGCUCGGGAUUUCAACAUGAUUGCAUAUCUUGAUCGAUUUAAUAAGUUGUUAAGGGACUUCAAUUGUGAGGUGAAGCAAAUUCCUCGGGAGCAAAACACACGAGCUGAUGCAUUAGCUCAACUGGCUUUCUCACCAGAAAAAGACUUACUGAGAUCAGUUCCAGUAGUCAUCAUUCCCGAGCCAAGCAUAAUUAAAUGUGAAGAAAAGGAAGUGGCAACCAUUGACCAUCGGAGUUCCUGGAUGGACCCAAUUAUGAGUUAUCUUAUGAAUGGAACUUUACCUGAGGACAAGAAUGAAUCAAAAAAGGUGAGAUACUGAGCUACAAGGUAUGUGAUCAUGGAUAAUCAACUUUACAAACAUGGAUAUUCACUUCCUCUUCUCAAGUGUUUGACACCCGAAGAUGGAGAUAAUGUCUUACGUGAAAUCCAUGAGGGGAUAUGUGGAAAUCAUUCUGGAGGAUGAGCACUUGCCUACAAAGCUAUGAGACAAGGAUACUUUUGGCUGACGAUGCAACGAGAUGCCUUGGAGUUAGCAAAAAAGUGUGAUAAGUGCCAAAGGUUUGCUAUUAUACCCAAGCAACCUCCAGAGAAGUUAACUCAUCUCCUCACUUCUUGGCCAUUUGCCCAAUGGGGGGUUGAUCUAAUUGGUCAUCUGCCAAAAGGAAAGAGGCAAGUAAGGUUUGCUAUAGUUGCCAUUGAUUACUUCACAAAGUGGGUGGAAGCUGAGCCUUUGGCAACUAUUACUGAGAAGAAAACUACCGACUUUAUUCAGAAGAACAUCAUAUGUCGGUAUGGCGUACCUCAUACUAUAAUCACUGACAAUGGGAGGCAAUUUGACAAUGACAAAUUUCGUGAGUUUUGUAGAAAGCUUAAGAUAAAAAAUGGUUACUCUUCUCCUGCCCAUCCUCAGGCUAAUUGACAAGUUGAAGCUGUCAAUCGAGUGAUUAAGCAAAUUCUGAAGGCUAAGUUAGAGAAAGCCAAAGGAGCAUGGCCAGAUGAAUUACCAUUCGUCCUAUGGUCUUAUCGAACUACACCAAGGACUCCUACAGGAGAAUCUCCCUUCUUAUUGGCAUUUGGUGCAGAAGCUGUCAUCCCUGCUGAAAUAAGAACGCCGACUUAUCGAGUACAACACUUUGAUCCUGUCAUCAAUGAUGAGCUACAACGCCAAAGUUUAGACCUCUUAGAAGAAAAGAGGGAUCAUGCUAUGAUCAAGGUCGCUGCCUAUCAAGGCAAAGUAGCUCGUUACUACAUUGCUCGAGUUAAAAUUCGGAAGUUCAGAAUUGGAGAUCUUGUUCUAAAGAAGGUUUUGCCUAAUGCUCAAGAACUAGGUGUUGGCACCUUGGGUCCUAACUAGGAUGGACCUUACAUAAUCAGAGAAGUAGUUAGGCCAGGAACUUAUAUUUUGUCUACCUUAGGUGGAAAGAUCUUGAGGCAUGCUUGGAAUGCUGAGCAUCUCAGGAUUUACCAUCAAUAGUAUGAUCUUGUACUUAUAUAAGUCUGAUCUUUCCUCAAUGGUCAGACAAGUUUUGUAAAGACAAAAUGCGGAUGAAUAAAAGACUACUUCUCCCAGUCAAGUAAAUUCUCCAUGAGAUGUUAAAAAAAAAAAAAAAAAAAAGUUGUGACAAUGAUGAAUGUCCUUGGAUCGAUUCUAAAUUUUCAUAAACUUAACAGAUGAAAAUUUUGUAUCUUUAUUCAAGUUCAACAAAACAAAUGAGCAUCUUAUUUCAAGGAUAAAAACUAGGACCCAAGUCAAAUCAGUUUGGUCGAUAAAUAUGUCUUUCAUUCUCACUAAAAGGUAAGACAAAAAAAAAGAGACUCAAAAGGGAAAAAUGCUAACUUUCUCCCUCUAAUCUUUCUCUUUCUAAAUUUAUAUUUCCAAAAGUCUGGUGAUUGACUUGACCGUCAAAGGGUUUAGCUGGCAAAGCCGGCCCUCUGAUCAUUUUCUUGUGUUUGUAGAGUAUCACAAGUAAGGACCUGCUGAGUGCCUAAGGAAGUGGACUCAGAAGAGCAUAUAUAAAGGCCCAUAAAGAUCAGCCCAAAUAAUGAACUCACCAUCAUAAAAUCUAACAAAGAGGAACCCAAGUCCUAAGGGGGUUGUCCUCAGUCGAAAUUUCCAUAUCAUAAGUUGGGACAAAAUUUGCACCAACAGUUACAAACUAGGCAAAGAUCAUUUAUACUUCCAUGUUUGGAGCGAAGAUUGACUGUUGUUUAUAGGACGUUCAAGAUCGCUAGCAAGGGAUAUUUAAUGUUAAUAAUUAAUUAACAUUCAAUAUCGCUAGCAUGGUAUAUGUACUACUAAAAGUAGAAUUAUUUUUUUCCUUUUAGUUUAUAGAAUUAAUAGUUAGAUUAGGGAUGGAAAACUCCGGGUCCGGGUCCGGGUUUAGCCUUUCCGGAUCCGGACCUGGAUACUAUUUUCCUUUCCCGGACCCGGAUUUUAACCCGGAUUUUUUCACCCGGACCCGGGUCCGGGUUCAACCCGGAAAAAUCCGGGUUUUCGGAUUCCGGGUUUUGAACCCGGAUCAAUGAAUCAAUAUCAAUUUCUAAAAUUCUAAAAAUAAAAAAUUAAUAUAUUUCCAAGCAAUAACACAUCUAGAUUAAUCAAUAAAAUUAAUUAAAAAAUAAUAUUAAAAUUAAUUAUCCGGGUCCGGGUUCCGGAUGUCCGGGUUAACCUAAACCCGGACCCGGACCCGGAUAUAUCCGGGUUAUUAAAAUUUAUUCCGGACCCGGAUUUUUUUACAUUCCGGUACGGGUUCAACCCGGCCCGGAUUAUCCGGGUUUGUCCGGGUCCGGGCCGGGUCCGGGUUAUUUUGCCAUCCCUAAGUUAAAUAUUUAUUAGAAUGGCAUGGAUUAGCCUAUUAUAUAGCAGAGUUCAGAUAUUUAGAUUAGCCAUUUAUAUAACUAGUAACAGUUGAAAAUCCCCCAUAGGAGCAGUAAUAAUGUUAUUGAGAUAAAACCACAUCAUGAAUUCAUUUUAUUUUAUUUUUUCAAGUUUUUAUUAAAGGGGAAGGAGCAUAGCCCAAACAUUAUUUUUAACUCAUAUCUUUUUUAGGAGUUCAACUCGAAUGACUAAUUAAACAAAGAAAUUGAAAGUCGUUCAACUGCAUUUUAAGGUAAAUUAUAAAUAAUGUUAUCCUAAUUAGAAAAUAGGUAAAGAGACUUUAGUGGUCAAGAAUAUUGCUGGUCUUGAGUCACUGCUUUGGUGAAAAACAACAUUUUUUUUUUGAACAAAUGUUUUUCAACAAUUUCAACUUUUUGAUAUAAUUAAACGAAUGUCAUAAAGGGGUUUUUGUUCGUGAUGAAAGUUAGACUCUUGCAAGUACAUCAUUUCAUGGUAGCUAAAAUGUUUUUAUAAAAAUGAAAAAAAUAAAAAUUUGACCGAAGUUGUCCACUCCAAUUCCCCAGAAAAAGAAAAGGCUGCGGUGACUUUCCUAUCUGUAUCUAGGGUUUUAGAUCAUUUGACAAAAUACACAGCAGCUGCAAUACAUUAAUAAUCAUAUUAAUAAUUACAGCUUGCUGCAGUGAUCUGAAGUCUGGCCAGAUGGAUUCUUUCCUUUUAUAAUCAUUUACAAAUUCUCAAUUUUCUUUGGCUUUUGUUUCUACUUUUAGCUUUAAAUUAAAAUUUUCCCAUAUCUUUUUUCUUCAUUGAAGCAAUCUGAAUCAUAUCUUUCACUUCAGUUUUCUUCAGUACUUUUGACUCUAAAAGCACCGAAAAUUUUCAAUCGUGUAUUGGUUUCUUUCUCAGUUUGCACUAACAUUUUCGUGCUAUUAAAGUGAUGGACUUGUUUGAAGAAAUUUAAAAUGCUAUUAGGUCUUGCUCUUUCCACAUGCAUGGUGAAUAGAAACCUAAAACGUGAAAGAGAUUUUUACUCUUCAAUGUGAUGGGGAUAUAAAGUGCUAACUUCUUCACUUCAAAGUUCAAAUUAUAGGGAGUGGGCACAUAUAAUUUCAUUUAUGAUUAGGAAGCUAUAGGGAGUGGCUGUCAAUUAAAAUGUUAGAUUAAAGAAACCUUACACAUUAAACUUACAAUUGAAAUAUCAGGCGUAGAACUUGAAAUGUUAACUUGAUACGUAUAUCAAGAAGCACCUAUUAGUUUAGUAGUUCUCAUCUCAAUAUUCAAUUGGCUUGUGGGGAUAAAAUUCUCUUAAAUUAGAGAGUAAAUAAAUGCCACUUUGAGCUUGGAAUUAAUGACCUAGCUAGAUGUAGAGGGUAACUAGGUUUAGUAAACUUAUUCCAAUGUCCUCAUUGAGAAUAAAGAAUUAAAAAUAAAAUAAAACAUUUUUUCAUACAUCUUACUUAACAUGUCUUUCUUUUUAUGUCUAUGUUUGUUUAUCCAUGUAGCUGAAGACUGAGGGAUCAUGAAAACUAAUGAGAUAACAUAAAUGAUAUUUAAUAAAGAAAUAAAAUUGUUUAUUAAACUUCAGCUCCCUCUUUUCUUAUUCCUCUUUUUUUCCCAAAAACAAUUUCAAACAAUUAUACUAAAUAAUUAGAAAUUUAUGUGUUAUGCACGUAGCAGCAUAAGGUCAACCAUUGAUAGGUACAAGAAGGCAUGUUCGGAUAAUUCAAAUUCUGACACUGUUACUGAGAUAAAUGCUCAGGUAAAUAAUUCAUUAAUUUAAGCUAUAAAUUCAGGCUUUACUAGGAAUAUAUGCUAUUAUGAAAAGGUUAAAAAAAAAAAAAAAAAAAAAAAAGCCAACUAAUUAUCAUUGGUUACCACAUAGCUAGCAUUGAAAUAAAAAGUUCCCAAUAAAAAUUAAACUUCUCCAAUUACAUGUGACCCAUGGAAACAGUACUAUCAGCAGGAGUCAGCAAAGCUGCGGCAGCAAAUUCAAAUCUCACAGAAUUCGAACAGAUAUUUUCAAUUAUUUCAUCAACAAUCAUUUUCAUAUUAGGUGUCGUUAAUUUUUUAUUCCAAAAUAUACAAUUUCAAUUGAAUUUUCAAUUGGUUAUCUCACUCUUGACUCUUCAUAUCGGCAUCUGAUGUGUGAUUCUCUGAGUUCUUUAACUGUAAAGGAGCUUAAGCAACUGGAGAACAGGCUUGAGUGAGGCAUCACUAGGAUCAGGUCCAAGAAGGUAAUUAAUUAAUUGCAUUAUGCAUACAAAAAAUAAUUGAAUUUGAGCAAUACACCAUUGUUUUGCAACAAUACAUUGCAUAAACUUUAUCGAUGUACAUUCAAUAUAUGUAAUUUAUGUCAUUUUGAAAAUAAUUUGUUGCUUUGUCUGUUUCCUAAAAUUGAGUUCUUGUAGAAAAGGGUAAUAAUUAAAGUUCAUUAAAUCCUGUUUAGCCUUUUUUUUCGUUUUCUUCCAAGCUUUUAUGGAACUCUGUGACAUUUUCAUUUUCAUAGGAGGUUGAGCUGGAAAAUGAAAGCGUGCGUCUCCGAUCAAAGGUAUGCAAAUCAAUCCUUUGUAUGUAUAAUGCAUUUGUUCUCGCCCUCUUCCAAAAUUUCAGCACGUUAUUAAAAUUUCGUUGUUUCUGAAACUCAGAUAGCAGAAAUGGAAGGGUUUCAGCAAGCAAACAUGGCGACUGGGCAAGAGCUGAAUGCAAUCCAUGCAUUAGCUUCUCGGAAUUUCUUCAGUCCUGCUAUUAUCGAGGGUGGCGGCUUUGCUCACUCUCAUCCGGACAAGAAGAUACUCCAUCUCGGGUAAUUAAUUCUCCCAUCACAUUUCAUUUCUAUGAGCUCGUGUUGAGCGUGCAUCAAUGUUUUCUCCCGUUUGCAAGAGAUCAAGCUUGUGGCAUCUCAGUACGAGAUCUACGAUCAGAAUAUCAUUAUCUACUGAAUGUGUGUGCUACUUGAUACCUAUUUUUGAAACCAGCAAUAUAUGAAAUUGGAUGAAUUUAUGUGUAACCUAAUUACUUAGGCUGACUUAUCAUUGGCAUCUUCUCUUUGGGAGACCAGUUAUUAUGCUGAAACUUAAUAUCUAUAAAACUUUCAAAACUGAGGCUGUGUGAUGUCGAAGGAUUUGCAUUAUGAGCUAGUUGAACUAUGGUGCGUAUCAGAGAAGGGUCAUAGGCUUGGUGGUUUUAUUGCAAGUCUUUCGGAUAUUAGGAUUACUCUGUUAGUCGGUUUGAAUUUUUGGGAAAGUCAUGAUUGUUAGAAGGGCACAUUUUGGGUAGUAUCUGCUACAAAUGUGAAAACAAUAUAGCGUUCGUUAAGAGCUCAAUGAGGAGAAAAGGAAUCAGAUCUCUUCGGAUCCACCGUGUAAGAAAAGAUUCUAGACGGCUCCAUAAAUGAAACUUCAUUUGAUGUCAAUACCGUUUUUUCAUGUAGUACUAUCUUAAGACCGCACUCGAGAUUGGACUGUGAACAUUUACAUAACAGAAGAUAUAAGCGUCUGGACUGCGAACAUUUACAUAAUGGCACACCACCUAUCAGAUGUGCUAGAGGGCUUCGGCGGAGGACUUGCAGGUGGCCUGGGGGGCUCCCGCGGAGGACUUGCAGGUGGCCUAGGGGGCUCCGGCGGAGGAUUUUCAGAUGGCUUAGGGGGUUCCGCAGUCUCCUUUUCAGUACUUCGAGAUUGAAUUUCGUCUUUUAACUUCAUUUCAGCUAAUUGUGCUACCUCUUCUGCCCUUAAUCGAGCAGCUUGCUCCUUUGCCAAUUGCUGUUCGAGCCUAGUUGUUGUCUCUUUGAGCCCAGACUCAACCUAUCAAAAAAGCAUCAAUAUUAGUCAGAAAACAUGCCACUAAGCCCUAGAGUAGCAGCACAAUACAAAAAAAUUGGGUAUUGGUAAUAUAAAACUCCAACUUAAGAGAAGAAAAUUCUUAAGUAUCAAUUUAGUUUAAUUCAAUUGCAAAGCGAGUUGCUAAGUUCACCAUACUCGGCACAACUUUAUGACCAAUCAAUUCCACUCUCAAUCAUUGAUAAAUGGUAGAAACAAGAGCUUAAAAAAAUAAACACAUAAAUCCAAAAUAAAAGUGUUAAAGAAUCUGCUAACUUUUUCAUUUUGCCAUACUCCAGGAUUGUCGAGAAUAAAACUUAUUAGCACCUCCGACAUAUAAUCAUUACACAGAAUGUUACAGAAAAUCCAGAUUAUUGUUGAAUAGGAUAUGGCUUAAUGCCGAAUCAUUCUAUUGCCUUGCAAUAAAUUAAAACUGUGGAAAGGAAAAUCAAAACUACGCAGCCAUUUGAUUAGGUUUCACGUGCGUAACUAUAUUUUCAUAAAAACUUAUUGUGAAUAUGGCUAUUCUAUUUUUUUAACAAAAUUAAAUUAUGACAUAACCUGCUCGUAACAUUUCAAUUGUUCCCACAGUAUUACAAGAAAUGUUCUCAUGAUUGAUGACUAAACAAGUGCAGAAUCCACCUUAGUGUAAGUCAUGAUUAGUAAACCACCUUAAUUUCAUCAACAAAAAACAGAGCAGGACCGUCAAACAAUCUUCAAGGUAAGAACAGCAUGUUACGGCCUUCAAAACAUAAUGAGUGAACAAAUAAUAACAGAUUUGUCCACAUCAAGUAGCAAGAUAAGGCCUCUUUUCAUAUGGCAAUCUCCAACAAUCUAGGGGUACGGACAGAGCGGCAGUCUUUACAACCUCCAAGUCUAACAAUUUAGAAUAUCGUUACAGGUACGUGCAGGCUUUAUAGUCAUUUUUUAAUUACACAGUUUGAGAAAUGAUUACCCGAUUUGAGAGAUGAACACAUAUGCAUGUCAUAUUUUGAUGCCAAAACAUGGAGCAUAAAAAAUACCAUCUCAGCCAUUCGUUUGAUUCGAUCUUCAUAUGAUUCCUGCAUCUGGCCCAUCAGCUUUGAAAUUUCUCGUUUUGAAUAUUCCUUGAGAGAAUCAACCUCAGCUUUUUGAUCACGGAGUUCAGUGGCCCCUCUCUGAGUAGAAAAAAAGAAAAAGAGAUAUUGUCAUGACAUAUUCAGAAAGAAGCAGCACAGAAGUCUAUCCCGAUAGUAAUGAAGUCACCUUCAACUCGUCCGUAUAUGGCUGCCCACCAUUCUGCACGAUCACAGAGUUAACCAGAGAAAGAAGCUGCCGAACCUGCUCGGUUCCCUUGGCCUCAUCCUUGGUCUUGUUAUCAAAAAGCACGCACCUAUUAUCACAUAGUUGAAGGAUUUCCUAAAAUAAUUGGAAAAUGAUCAGGAAUAAAGCAAAUGUUAGCUCCUUUCGGUAAGCAUUGAUGAACCAAUCAAACACUUGUAGUCUCUAAAAGUUUGAGGAUAUUAAGCUGACAAAAUUUGUUUUUAUUGUGAUCGUUAGUACUUAAUAUCAGGCAUCCUCAAAAACUAUUUAAUAAUCAAUUCCAUUCUCCUUAUGGUUUGACCACUUACAUAACCUCUUACGUCCAUCAAAUUUUAAAAUCUUAAAAGGUGAUCAGCAUUCCAUAUAACAUAAGUAGUAGUAGUAGGAAUAAUAAUAAUAAUAAUAAGUACAAUAAGUAAAACAAAGUUCCCUUUAACUGUAAAAUAACCGGAUUUUGUUAAUUGCAAAGCUACAACUUAAAGGGGUCUUUAUUUUCAUUUUUGUUAUUUUUCUUCCCACUCCUCAUAGGUUGAAUCAAGUAUGCAGUAAAAUAGAAGAACUUGAUAUAAAUCUUUCUCAAGUUAAAAAAUUUUAGGAACCAAAAUCAUCAAGUAAAUUCUGAAAAUAAGAGAUUUGCAUGUUGAAACUGAAAAAAGAUCUCACAUUGAAAUUUCAGACACCAAUUCUGAGCCUAGAAUCCACAUGAACUUUUAAGAGAAUUUUAAAUCUUGUAAAGUUAGUCUUGAUAUUUUAUUCAAACAACGCCGAAUAAAAUGGACCUGUAUAGCAAGUCACAUCCUCUUUGGGCCACUUUUAAAAUCUUAAAAGUAGGUUAAUUUUGAGCGUAUAAUCAAAGAGGUACAUAUUUUGAGAAACAAACAAAUGAACACACCUUAAUAGAAUAAGAACCAAGAUUAAAUCGCAGAGGAAAUCAAAGAAUACAAAUAAGAAAAGCAAAAAUGUUUAGCGAAUGAAUGAAUGAUAUCUCAUUCGAAGACAAUAACGUAUAAGUAAAAUUAAGUAACGCCAGCAGAAAAUUACCAAUCACCUCUCCGGCCAAUCCCGCAUGGCAGAAGAAAACCAUUCACGAAAUGAAGCACCAUUGAAAAUGGAACUUUAAGACGGCUGGCCUACUAUAAAGCUAUCUAGUAUUUUCAGCAUGCAUAUAUUCAUAUUAAACUUCCAAUAGUCCAACCGUAAAGGAGUCUAAAACUUCACAAAAGAACCAGCCAAAGACAACUUGAUCAAAAUGACUGAUGAAAUUAUCGAACACUAUAAGAGUUCAGAAACAAACCUUUAAAGGCUUUGGACACUCAUGACCCAAAAAAUCUUCUAAUGUUUUCUCAUGAUCUUCAAGAUCAUCCCCUCCAGUGAAAACAACAAUCAUAUAGUCAAAAACAUUUUUCCCGAACAAGUUCGGCAAACGGUGUACUGCAGUUUCUUCCUCUUGAGAAAAACGGUUUGUAACAGAGAAAACUACAAGGAAUGCAUGGAUGCCAUCCUUGGCCAUACCGAGACAUUUGACAAUUUCCUUGCCGACAAACUCAGAGCCAGCAGACAAAUCAAAAAGCCCUGCAAUGGCUCGUAACAUCAAUCUACUUACCAUCACAACAUCAACAAGCAUGGAAUGGAAUAUCUAGGAACCAACAUUAGCAAAUUACCGGGGGUAUCAAUGACAUUAACAACUUGGCCAUCUUUGAGCACGGUUGUCUUCAUUUCACAAGUUUUAGUAACACCAGACGAGCCAGCACUCGCCUUGAAGGCUUUUCUCCCGAGAAUACUAUUGCCCGUCGCACUUUUGCCAUUGCCAGUACGGCCAAGUAAAACCACAGUGCGCUCCCCAUUAGAUGGAGAAGUAGGCUUCCAAUCGCCAUCAACCACUCUUUCUCCCAUCCUAAAAAAAAAAUCAAUUUACCUGCAAUGCAUUUACAAUAUCAAACCACUUUCACAUUGAAUUCAAUUUUUAUCAUUAAAGAAUAAGAAAGAAAACUUAGUUACCAUUCCCAUACAAUUUCACUCCAUUAAAACUUAUAUUUGAUAUUACUUUAAAUAUUAUCCAACCGAACAUGAAUAAAUUCAUUAAAAAAAUUAAAAAUAAAAAUCACUCAGACCCCGACCAUAUAGUUAAAUUUAUAAUCAUAAUAAAAUAUGAUGAAUUGCUAUAUAAUCAAGCACGGAAUCUAAACAGCAUCAGUUAAUUAAUUAAUUAUGCUGAUGUAUUAUUUAAUUUAAUUAUGCUUGUUUCACGAAAUUAUUGAAAAAAAAACGACAACGAUCAAUUAUGCAUAGUGGCGGACCCAGAUACUUAAAUUAGGGGGAUUAGUUCAAAACAUUUUAUUUAAUUUGGGGUUUUUUUUUAAUGUUCACAUGAAUACAUUUUAAAUCUCAUAAACUCAAAUUUCAUUAUUUUCUUUUAAAUUUUAAAUAAUAAUAGUAAUAAACUUUUUAUUUUAAAUGCAUAAAAGUAUCAUUUUUCUAAGUAAUUUUCAAAAACUAUUUAUAAAAAGAAACAAAAUAAUGUGGCUAUUGGGAUUUAAACCAGGACUUUAAAACCAUCAAAUAGCACUCUUAUCAUUGAACCAUAAGUCUUUUGUUACAUAAAAUAUGUGUCCAAUUUUUUUUAUUUAAUUCUUUUAGAAAGGGCGUGGGGUAUAUUUAAAAGAAAAAUUAAUGGCCUAAAAGGGGCUGAAGCCCCUCCUGGGCAUUAAUUGGGUCGCCCAUGAUUAUGCAUUACAUCCGAUAAAAUUUACAAACCGAGGUAAAGAAAAUCGAGUCUACAACAAACAAAAAAACCAGAAAUUGAGAUUGAGAGGAAAAUGCGAGGGCAAUUUGAAGAAAGCAAAGUAUGAAAACAGACUGUGAGAUGAUGCGAUGAACUAAGAUUUUACUUACUUGCAAAGAGAGGAGAACAAAAAAGAUUGCAUUGCGUAUGAAGAGAUGAGAAAGGGGAAGAGACUUGAUUUAAAUUUUAGGAUUUAAGGUAUGAAAUUUAUAAAUUGAGUAAUGAAUGUAAUAGGAAGUUGAGAAGUAAAGGAUGUAAGAGAGUUUAAAUAGAAAGUUAAGAAAUAAAAGAUGUAAGAGAGUUUCAAUAGAAAGUUGAGAUGUAGAAAAGAAUCUAAAGAGUUUGAAGAAAAGAAUAUAAGAGAGUUUAAAUAGAAAGUUGAAAUGUAGAAAAGAAUCUAAAAGAGUUUGAAGAAAAGAAUAUAAGAGAGUUUAAAUAGAAAGUUGAGAAGUAAAGAAUAUAAAAGAGUUUAAAUAGAAAGUUGAGAAGAAAAGAAUCUAAAAGAGGAAUGAACAUGCAAUUUCCCUCUUUUGCCUUUCAUUAUUUCAUCACUUUUAUUAUUAAGGAAGUUGUUAAUAUUUUUUCUAUUAGAACUAAUAUAUAUCACUUAUUUAUUACUAGUUUUAUAAUAUAAAAAAUUCAUUUCAUUUAUAAUAAUUAUGAAUAAAAGUUUAUUUAAAAAUAAAAAUUAUACUAUAAAAUUAUACUAAUAAAAAAUUAUUGUGCAUUAUAAAGGUAAUACUAAAGUAAUUAAUAUAUAUUUAUUUGAAAAAAGGAAAGCUUACAAUUUCCCAUUAUUAAUAUUAUUGAUAAUCUUUCUUUAUUAAAUCAGCAUAUUCAUACUACAUAGGGGCUUUUUGGUCAUUUUAUACGUCAAGGCCCCUAAGGGCAUCUCCAAAGCUUUAACACCAUUUUGGUGUAACACCAACACCAAAAAUUUACUUUUUUCAAUAGAAAGUUGAGAUGUAGAAAAGAAUCUAAAAGAGUUUGAAGAAAAGAAUAUAAAAGAGUUUAAAUAGAAAGUUGAAAUGUAGAAAAGAAUCUAAAAGAGUUUGAAGAAAAGAAUAUAAGAGAGUUUAAAUAGAAAGUUGAGAAGUAAAGAAUAUAAAAGAGUUUAAAUAGAAAGUUGAGAAGAAAAGAAUCUAAAAGAGGAAUGAACAUGCAAUUUCCCUCUUUUGCCUUUCAUUAUUUCGUCACUUUUAUUAUUAAGGAAGUUGUUAAUUUUUUUUCUAUUAGAACUAAUAUAUAUCACUUAUUUAUUACUAGUUUUAUAAUAUAAAAAAUUCAUUUAAUUUAUGAUAAUUAUGAAUAAAAAUUUAUUUAAAAAUAAAAAUUAUUCUAUAAAAUUAUACUAAUAAAAAACUAGUGUGCAUUACAAAAGCAAUACUAAAGUAAUUAAUAUAUAUUGAUUUGUAUAAAGGAGAGCUUACAAUUUCCCAUUAUUAAUAUUAUUGAUCAUCUUUCUUUAUUAAAUCAGCAUAUUCAUACUACAUAGGGGCUUCUUGGUCAUUUUAUACGUCAAGGCCCCUAAGGGCAUCUCCAAUGCUUUAACACCAUUUUGGUGUAACACCAACACCAAAAAUUUACUUUUUUCACACCAAAUUACUAUUUCAUCUCCAACCCAUUUGCACCAAAUUUUAUACCAAAAAGAAUAUUCUUCUUUUUCUUCUUUUAAUUCUCAAGAAUUAAUUCAAUUAACACACUAAAUAUUACUAUUAAUAUAGAUUAAGUAUUAAGUAAUUUUAUAUCGAUUAACAAAAAAAAUAGAAAAUUAUUAAAUUUGCCUUUAAUUAACUAAAUUAGUGCAUUAUGAAAAUUAAACAUUACAUUAAUAUAAAAAAAUACGAUAACAAUAAUAAUACUCUAGUUAUUCGAAUUACUAAAUUCAUCACAUAAAUGAUUAAUUAGUGCAUUUCGGAGUAUAAGGUGAGCCUCUUUAUCCUUGAUUUUUUUGUGUCGAGCAAUAAAUUCUUGAAAUCUAGUACUCUCAUCUACCCUCAUAUCAAUUGUUGGUAUUGGUGCUUACAUCCAAUCAUUAAUUGUUGCAUUAACAUUACGUUCAUCUUCAAUUAUCAUAUUGUGCAUAAUAAUGCAAGCAAUCAUUAUAUCAUGUAACACAUGUUUGUUCCAAAAGCGUGAUGGUCCAGCAACAAUUGCAAAACGUGAUUGAAGGACUUCAAAUGCACGUUCUACAUCUUUCUGACAUGCUUCUUGUUUCAUGGCAAAUAAUGUUUUUUUAUGACCACAUGGAUCAUUGAUAGUUUGUACAAGAGUAGACCAUUUUGGGUAGAAACCAUCAGCUAAAUAAUAACUCAUAUUAUAUUCGUUCCCUUUAAUAACAUAAUGAGCAGGAAGAGCAAUACCUGAAGCGAGGUUGGCAAAAAGAUAGGAUGCCUCCAACACAUUAAUAUCAUUAUUUGAACCAGGCAAACCAAAAUGUGCAUGCCAUAUCCAAAGAUCAUAAUUAGCUACAGCCUCCAAAAUAAUAGUUGGGGUUCCACUACGACCAGCAUAUUGUUCGGCCCAAGCUGUUGGACAAUUUUUCCACUUCCAGUGCAUGCAAUUUAGGCUACCUAACAUUCCUAGAAAACCACGUUCUUUACCAACAUGGAGUAGCCUGGUGACCUCAUUAGCGUUGGGUGAUCUAAGAUGUUGCUUUGCAAAAACUUCCACAAUUGCACGACAGAACCUCUUCAAACUUUCAAUUGUUGUAGACUCUCCAAUUUUAAUAUACUCAUCAAUAGCAUCUGCUAGCAUGUCAUAUGCCAACAUCCUAAAUACGGCAGUGAUAUUUUGAAGACCAGAUAACCCAAGUCUGCCAACGCCAUCCCUUCGCUACAUAAAAUAGUUGUCAUGACCUUGCACGGCAUUAGUAAUACGACUGAAUAAACUUCGAGACAUUCUGAAGGCAAAAGGAAAAAGGAAAGUUGAAGAUCAAAAUUCACUAGUUAUUGAUACUAUUAAAGAAGACCAUCGAUGACUAUAUGAAAUUCUCAAAAAAGGCAGUGAAGAUAGGCAACAAAAUUAUCAAAUUCAAAUGAUACGAGCCCAAAAUGAGAAAAAAAAAUUGGAGAUGGUCACAUAUCGUGAAGAAAACAAAAUUUUACUUCAAGAUUUAAAUUAGAUAAGUGAUUCGAGCUUACGUCAAUAUUUUCAAAAUGAACAAAUUAAGAUUUUACAGAGAAGGUCUCCGCAAGGCCAAGCAUCUCAAAAUAUUUCCAAUAAUAUUGGCCAAUAUUUUGAUGAUAUUGGAAGAUCUAAUAAUGAUCUCCCAUAUUAUUAAAUAAUUGUUCUAAUUUAUGCUGGUAGUAGUAGCUUUUUUAAUUUUGUGUUAAUUUAAUUUUGUAUUUUUAACUUUGUAAUAUGUAAUCUAGUAAUUAAUGUUAUUGGAAUUUUAUUUUUAUUAUUAAUUUUUUUGUUGAAUAUUUCUUUAUUUAAAAUAUUAGUAUAAUAUUCAAAAAUUAAAAAUAAAAUAAAAAUAAUAACAAAAAUAAUAAUAAUAACUUAAAAUAUUAUAUAAAAUAGGAUAUAUAUGUAAAUAAAAAAAGUAAUAAGAAUAUUUGGGACUUUUUUUCCUAGCACCAAAUGAAUAGUGUUGCACCAUUUUUGGUGCAAUACUAUUCAAACAUCAUUUUGGUGUUGGUUUUGGUGUUACAUUGGAGAAGCAUUGUACACCAAAAAUAAUGUAAAAGGUGAUUUACUGUUAGUUUUGAUGUCACAUUGGAGAUGGCCUAAACUCCCCAUAAGUAAAUACUAAGGGAAAUGAGGAAUGUCAAUUGCCCUUUGUCCCGGGCAACGAAAAAUGAAUCUUGUUAGUGCUCAAAGGCCUCUCCAAAGGAAAACACAACGGUUAUGUGUGUCCAAAACUUUCCAAUAAACAAUAUUCCAAUUUCAUUCUCAACCCAAAUUGAAAAUUAGGGUACAAAGUAGUCAAAACUCUUUUUCAAUUUUUUGAAUUCAAUACAGUCAGAACAAAUUGAAUGCAAUGAAAUGACGGAGCCAUUGUAGAGAACCAAAGUAGUGAUUUGUCAUUUGUCUCUUUCCCUCUCUCAAAAUGACCUUUUAGCCCUUUUCCACGAUCACUUCAAUGACGGUUACAAUUGGUUCCGCGUUCGCCCGAAAAUUUAGGAUGUGUUUGAGUUUGCUAAGUUGUUGAAUGGACAUGUGUUUGUUAAUGAAAAAGGGUAAUUUUGCUAACCCUUUUGCUUUUACUUAUCAAUCUUAAUUUGGUAUGAAUGUGUUUAUGUUGUUUCAAAUGAAAAGGGCACUUUCUGUUUGGUUAAUUCUAUGUGUUAUUGGGUUCUUGAUUAGGGGCUCAGUUUAAGGCUAUUGUUGAAUAUGCUCCAUCUCAACAUGUUCCCAAGCCUUGUUCUAGAAAGGGUAGUCGUGAAGGCACCAUUUUUAAAGGUAAUUGAAACGAUCCGCCUCGAAUCUCCAAGACGAGUCUAUCUAAUCUCAAUUGAUCAAAUUAAUAAUAAUUCUGAUAUCUAAGAAUUCUACCAAAAAUGCGACAAAGUCUCCUAUAUAAUUAUGACAUCCCCAAAUCUGCAAUUUAUACAAUUAACACUCCCAAAAAAUAAUACAAUAUUUAAUCAACCUCCACAACCAACUUCCUCAAUUUAAAUACCAGUAUCCUUCAAACAUAUAAUGUUAAGAAUACAAUAGUUUAUCCUUAAUCACAAAUAAGUAAUAAAUUAUCCAAUUCAAAAUGUCUCAACAAAACAUCUAUGAUUCCUAACAUCAUCACGUGGCCAUAAUUUCAAUCUAACUAUCAUUACUGGGUCACUGAUGUACCUGCAAAUCUCCUGUGGGGGGAGGGGGAAUAUAAUAAAAAUGGAGUGAGUAUAAAACUCAGUAAGCUCAGUGAGUGGAUAAUAGUUUUUGAAAAAAUAAAUUUAUUUAAAAUGAUUUAAUCUUUUCCAAAUUAAUUUCAUCAAAAUAUCAUAAGAACUUACAUAAACUUAUUUAAUUCAAAUCAUGCACUGAAAUAACAGUAUUACAUAAAUCUGCAUAAAAUCAAUGAAAUCAUAAUACUUAUAAUAUCAAAUACUUAAUACCAAAAACUAUCAUCAAAUACCUAGGGGAAUAAUCUCAUCAUAUCCGGACCUCGACGGACGGGCAAUCAAGGAACCAUCAUACCGGAGCUACAAUGGAUAGACUAGAAAAUGUCAUCUCAUAUCUCAUAUAUCUCAACAUAUGUAUCUUUGUAAUCAUCAUACUGCAUGCAUAAGCCCCCAAAAGGCAAAAGCGCCCAAACACACGGCCCAAAGCCUUUAUGUGUGUUCAGACGACCCCAAAGGCCUCUCAUCUCAUAUCAUCUAUAUCACUGUAUUCAUCUUAUAUUAUAUGUAUCUCUGUAUCUGAAGGGGAAGGGUACUGUCCAAUGAUUUUCCAAACAACCUUUUAUACACAUGUACAUAAACAUGUAAUCACAUUUGAAAUCUCAUUUCCUUUUUAUUCAAUAUAUCUCAAAUCCACUCAAUUCUAAUAUUAUGCAUUUUCUCAAAAAAUGAUAAUAAAAUCAUUAAUCAAACUCAUUUUUAAUAAUAAUAAAUAUCAGCACGUAGAAUAAAUUUUAAUUUUCUAGAAAAUCAUUAAAUCGAAGCAUCAAAUACUUAUUAUCAAAAUAUGUUGUACUGUAUGGUAAAAUUAGAAUAUACUAUGAAAAUAAAUUUUGUAUAUUCCACUCACAGUGACGAUAUCCAGACUCGGUACUAUAAACGUCCGCGGAUUGAUUCUCGCUCGUGGGUCCUCCUAAUUAAAUAAACGACAUAAUUAUUAUUUGUAUCAUGAAGUACGACUAACAGUACGUAAUAAAGCUCAAAAUCAAACUCCCGGAUACAUAAAAUUUCAAAAUUAUCCUUAUGUCCAAAAAUUACCAAAAUGCCCUUGACACCAAAAUUUACCAAAUUACCAUCGAAAUCAUAAUUUAUCGAAUCAUCCUUAACAUCUUAAAUUACCAAAUUGUCCUCAAUUCGGAUAACAAAAUUAAUCACAAGUUUUGAAUUUACGAAAUUACCCUCAAAGUGCGAAAUUACCAUAAUGUCGUUAAUAAUUUAAAUUAUCGAAUUACCCUUGAAGUCUCAAAUUACCUCACUGCCCUAACCUAAAAUUACCAAAUUAUCCACCGAUUCCACAAAUUACAAAUUCCCCCUAAAGUCUUGUGAAAUUACUGAAAUGCCCCCACCGGUCAACGGUGACCGGAAUUCAGCUAACGGUGACGGGAAGCUCAAGUCUGAUAGUUCUGAUCUCGAUGAGUCCAAUGGUGCUGGCGGUGACCUUCCACGUGCGGCAAUGGCGGCGAAUCGUGCUCCCAAAGCUGUGAGCUUUCUAGCGGUCGUUCACAGCCAAAACGAAAGUUUCAGGUGGCGAGGUUGGUCGGAAAUAAAAGCUGGUGAUAGGAAUCGAAAGCAGCCGGUGGUGCAACCUAAUUCUGGCGAGAUUGACGGCGACGAAAAUGGAUUGAGUCGCGGUCUUUCAAGCUUCAAUCACCGGCGUUCUGGCUGUUUUCCAGUGACGAUGACAGCGGGGAUUUGACCGGCGUCACUCAAGCUUCAGAUCAGUACCAAGCUUGACCGGAACGGUGGCUGGAAACGAGAGUUGGACCCGGGUUGGUCUCGUGGGUCGGGUCGGGCUAAACGGGUCAAUUUCUCUCUCUCUCUCUCUCCUUCUCUCUCGCGUGCCCCUCUCUCUUUUCUCUUUUGAAAAUUAGUUCCCUCCCUUCCAUUUAUAGAAAUUAAUUUUUUUUAAAGAUUACUACUAAUUAAGCUAAUGCUGGACACGUGUUGAAAUAAAAUCCAACUACACGGCCAUUGAAUCGUGUUUGAAUUGUCUCAAUUUUAUGUCAUGACAAAUUUAAAAUUAAUAUCGAAGGGAAAAAAAUAAAUAAUACACUUAAUUAGGAAAAUUAAAGUGCAUAUGUUAUAGUGAUUCUUUUUAUUUAAAAAAAAAAACUUAGGGCACUUUUGGGGUUGAAGUACUGUGGCUUUUACUGUACACUUAAGCUGCUAAAUAUCAAAGUUAAGUAAAAGCACAGCAAUUACAAGAAUACCUUUGUUUUCUUUAUCUUCUUAUUAUUUUUAGAAGUACUGCAGUAAUGCCACUUGGGCUUGUAGCCCAGUGGUGAACCAUUGCCCUCAAAGUUAAACAUGACUAUGAGGGCAAUGGUUCGAGUCCCUACAGACUCAACCUCCUUCAAUUAAAUAUAAUUGUGUGGAGACUACUUAUAACGUCUUUCUCCCUUGCGAAAUGCGAGUGGAGUAGAGACAUCCCUCCUCCGUAAGGGGUAUUUGGUUGGGCAUGUGCUUCAUAGACUAAAAAUGUAAUAAUGUAAGUCCCAUAUAUAUAUAUCUGAUUGUAAAUAUCAGUGUAAUGACCUGCAGUCAUAGCAGUUGUAUAUAUCUCUGUGUAAUACAGUAACCUGAUGCUUAAUCAGUUAAAAAAAAAAAAGUACUGCAAUAAUAAGUCAUAUUUGGUUUUGAUGUGGAUAAUAAAGACCCGGAUUAUUUGGAGUUCCUAAAGGUUAUUGCUAAACUUGCUGAGAAUCUACCAAGUGCAGAAAUUCAGUUGGAAAGAAAAGAAGCUGAGCUAUCUGGUUAGUUAGUUAUUUUGAGAUGAAUUGAUGAAUAUAACAUGCUGUUCUUAGUGUGUGUGUGUGCAUAAAUGUAUGCAAUUUAAGCUACAAAAUUAAUAAAUUCUGGCACUGUUACUGAGAUCAAUGCUCAGGUAAGUAAUUCAUUAAUUUAAACUAUAAAUUCAGGCUUUGCUAGGAACAUAUAUUAUUAUGAAAAGGUGAAAAAAAAGAAAAAAAGAAAAGAAAAAACCAACUAAUUACACUAUUAGAAAAAUAGUCUUUACUGAUAUUUGUGGUCUGACACUUUAUUUAAAAGUGUCAGUAUAUACAUAUAUUUGGAUCAUUUUCCGCGUUUAACAAAUAUGUAUCACUAAUUACUAAUAUUGAAGUAUCAAUAGCUUUAAUAAUAGCGGUCAUUGACGUUUAUGUAUCAGUAAUUAAAAAUUAUCAUUUUAAUUUUGUUUUAGUCUGAAUUCGAACCCAAAACCUCUUAAACCUAGAGCUUCUACAUUGAAUCAAAAGGCUACUAGGCUACGAAUUAUUUUUAAUUUUUUUUAGAGUUGUGUUUUUUUAGUGGAUAAAAACAAAACAAAUGAACAAGUCUUGUCUUAUCCAAAAUACAACUUUUCAACUCCCUCUACCAAAGUAUUCGGGGUUUUUAAUUAAAUAUGCCUUAAAAGUAGGGUAUUUAGUUAAAUAUACCCCAUGUUUGAAAAUUAUCUAAAUAUGCCUUUUUAUGUGGUACAUUGUCUAAAAUAUCCCUAAAGAAAAAUAUAAAACACACACAACUCACAACACUCUUUAUUUCUCACAACACAAACGCCCACUCAUGAAAAACACCACACUACACACAAAAUCACUCACAAACAGCUAAUGCACUGAGAUUUUUGUUUGCAGCUGGGUGUAUUAUUCAUCCCAUGAAUAAGGUAUUUGAAACUCGUUUUUUUUUUUAAUUUUGGGCUAUCUAUUCAAUUUGUUGACAUAAUAUUAUUUUUAGGGUUUUGUUUAGUUUGUGAUAAACACUAAAACAACUCAUAUUUUCAUUACAUUUGCAUCAUAUGACUGUUAUUUGAUGGAUUUUAUAACUACAUUUGUUAAAACCUGAAGUUGUUGUCAAAUUUUUUUUCUGCACCCGACAUACACGACAACAGUCGUGUAUGUAUGUAUUUACACGACUAUAGUCGUGAAAAUGUGCAAAAAAUUUCAAUUAUUAUGACACCUUAUCAUUAUAUUGGUUCAAAAAAUAUAUUUUUUUCACUAUAUAUAUCCUUUUACUAUUACUGGACUAUAGUCGUGUGUGUUAAUAAGUUACACAAUUACUAGCGUGUACGUAUAAACUUACAUACUAUAAUUGUGUAUAUAUGUAAAAUGUUCCAAUUGUUAUGAGAUCCCAACAUUUUUUUAAGAAGAAAUAUGUCCUUUGAUUAUUUACUGAGUCAUGUAUUUUGCAACUUACACGACUUCUGUCAUGUAUGUAUGAAUUUACACAACAACCAUCGUGUAAGUUUAAAAGAUAUAGUAGUUGUUAUGACACCUAACAUUCUGUUAGUACAAAGAUUACAGUUAUAUUUUAUUAAAUAUAUCAUCUGACUAUUUACAGAACUAUAGUUGUGUAUUUUAGAAAGUUACACAACUAUUGUCGUGUAAAUAGGCAGACAGAUCCACACUUCGUUAUAAAUCUUGUUUGAUUUUAUUUUUGUAUUUGUUGUAUAAUCAACUGUUGUAUUAUUACAGGAAAUGACUUCAGUACGUGUGCCUAUUAUGUUUUGUGGUGAAUGGAUUGAGCAAAACGGUAGGCCACAACAUAAACAAGCACAUGUACUACUAUGAACCUUAUAUGCUUUUGCCCCCUGUGGAAAAGCAAAAAAAAGGUCGGCCACAACAAAUUAGGAUACUAUCACGAGGUGAAAAGAAGUUGCGCCGUAAGUGUGGUAGGUGUGGUUCUCGAGGACAUAAUCGAUUAACUUGCAGUGCACCAAUCCCACUGUCUAACAAUGAGCCCGUAGUUAGACCGAAUGAAACAUAAACAAGCACAUGUACUACUAUUAACCUUAUAUACUUGUUAUUUUUUGUUGUUUAAUUUUUUUAAUGUCUUUCAUAUUUAGUGAUAAAUUUCUACCUUUUUGUUUCGCAGAUGAAUAACCGUGUUUGUGUGGCUUUCUAAGAAUAAGUAUUGAAGGGAGGCGACCAGAGGCUUAUAAAAUAUGGACCGAGUGUUUGGGUUGAAUAUGCCAAAAAUUUAUUAUGAAUGUUAAACAACUUCUAUUGUAUUACGAUUUAUUUACGAUUUCAAUAAGUAUUGGAUUUAUGUUAUUUGAUAGGCAACCGGACUAUAGUUAGUUUCAUUUAUUUGAAGUUUGAUGUGUUAAAAUUUAUAUUGAUUGUGUCAUCAAUAUAAUGAAUGAUUGAAAAGAGUUUUUAUUAUGUAUACAUACCCGAGUACAAUCAUGUAUUUCUGUUAUAGAACUUGUCAUAUUUAUUUCUAAAUACUCGACUACAGUCGUGUAUCUGUGCAAAUACCUGACUGUCACAGAGAGCUUGUAAUGUUUAUUUCUAAAUACCCGACUGCAGUCGUGUAUCUGUGCAAAUACCCGACCGCAGUCGAGUAUUUUGUCACAGAGAGCUUGUCAUGUUUAUUUCCAGAUACCCGACUGCAGUCGUGUAUCUGUGCAAAUACCCGACUGCAGUCGAGUAUUUUAUCACAGAGAGCCUGUCAUGUUUAUUUCCAGAUACCCGACUGCAGUCGUGUAUCUGUGCAAAUACCCGACUGCAGUCGUGUAUCUGUGCAAAUACCCGACUGCAGUCGAGUAUUUUAUCACAGAGAGCUUGUCGUGUUUAUUUCCAGAUACCCAACUGCAGUCGUGUAUCUGUGCACAUACCCGACUGCAGUCGAGUAUUUUGUCAUAGAGAGCUUGUCAUGUUUAUUUAUAAAUACCUGACUGCAAUCGUGUAUCUGUGCAAAAACCCAACUGCAGUCGUGUAUUUUCUUACAUCGUAUUCCCUAUGCAUAUAUGGCAAUCCUGUUAUAUCACAUAGAUUGUACAAACUAUCUUAUCUAUCAUUAAUAUAAUUAACAAAGAAAUAAAAUAUAUUAAUGCUAUCAACUUAUCUUUAAUGACAUUAAAUAUCAACAACAUCCUCAUCAUAACUAUUACAUCUCAUGGUCCAAAAAAUGACACUACAAAGUUUUUUUCCAUGACCUAUUCCCAAAUAAUUUUACAACCAAGGCUUUUCGAAAUUGUGUAACAUGAUCUUGUUGGCAAUAUGAAUUGACAUUAAGUCCAUGGGUUAGGACCUCCAAGUGCCGCAACAAAAAUGCUUCACAAUCACCACUAAACAAAUUCAUACAAAUCAAUUGUUAAAAAUCAUCAUUCUCAUUAUUAUGUUCAAAACACAUUAUAUAUAUAGUACAUACCCUGAUUUUUGUUGCGGGCUGUCACGCACUCGCACGAUAGGCCAAGGAAUUUUCAAUAUAACCUCACUACAGUCUAGAUGUGUUUCGUGAUAUGCUAUCUUCUGAAGUACUAGAGGUAUCAUGUCUGCAACAGGCAGCAAUUAUCUCACCAAAAUUGAAUCAUUUGUUAAAUCUAUCAUGGAGUCAUAAAUGGAAAUCUUGCCCCCAAGUAUAUCGACCACACCGAGAAUCCAAUGAUCAUUCAUGAAUAUUGGCAAAUACACCUAUGAAAUAUAGACAAUAUUCUUAACAAGUAACGGCAAAUAUAUCUAUGAAAUGCGGUAACUGUUUUUAUCUACUUGCAGUGCAUAUGAUGUAAAAAACUAAGCAUACAAUGUGAAACUUACAGUGGAAACAUUUUUCCAAGGAGUGGCACAGUCCAAUUUUGCACCAUUAGCAUAAUCAAUGCAGCAACAGAGAGUCAGGAGAAGAGAGUAAGGCGUUGGGUUUAGGGGACGGUGAAGAAUAAGAGGAGAGCAAAGCGCCAAUGGCGCGCGAAGCGCAUGCGGAACGGGCACGGAGAAAAAUCAGUGUGGAUGAGAAGCAACCGAGCUCAUUCCCUUCGCUUCUGGGGCCAAAGCAGUGCAGUUGUUCCUGGCCAAAUCCAGGAUUUGGGGCUUCUUGCUACACCUACGCUACUUAAGAAUGUUCUUCGGGUAGAGAGAGAGAGCUUUGUAUCUUUGAAGAAGAAGAGACAGUAAUCAAUUGGAAGAAGAACGAACGGUAAUCAAUUGGAAGAAGAACGAACGGUAAUAUCAAUUGGAAGAAGAAGAGCUUUGUAUUCACCUCUAGCUUCAACUCCAGAGAUGGGUGCGUGUUUUGUGACUGACUGUGCAGGGUAAUUUGGAUGAUUUAGGUUUUUAAUUAGGGUAAUUUCGUAACUGCACAUAAAAAAAGGCAUAUAUGAGGAAUUUUAAAAUAUAGGGGUAUUUUUAGAUAAAUACCCUUUUUUUGGGGUAUACCACAGACAAAUCCCUGAAAGUAUUCAUUCCCUCCUAAGCUCCCCAGAUCUGAAAAAUCCCUAACAUCCAAAUUGUCAAAAAGUGCUCAGGUCUUAUCUUUUUGUUUGGCCGGCAUGGUGCUGCGAAAUCAAAGGUCAGUAAGCAGUAAUAGAAGAUAACGAGUGCAGAGAUGGCGGGAAGAAGGUAAGACUGGCCAUAAUGGAGCUGGCCAACAUGAUAAGUGUUCCCAUGUCUCUAACCGCUGCCAUCCGUCUCCACAUACCGGAUGCUAUCUGGCAAGGUGGGGCCAACACCCCUCUCUCCGCCUCCCAGAUCUUGACACGUAUCCUCCCAUCCGGCGAUGGGGACGCCGAGAACUUGCAACGUAUCCUCCGCUUGCUCAGCAACUAUGGCGUGUUCUCGGAGCAUCGCGAAUUUAGAGGCGAAAGGAGAAUGAAUGUGAUGAGGAUGAUGAUUGGGAAUAUGUUGAAGAAGGGCCUGCAGAAAUUAUAUGGCAAGGAAAUGAGAUUAUUAUCAGGAAGAAAAAGGUCAGAGUUCCGAAGAAUGAUGCGAACCCACUAAGUAAAAAAGAGGUAAUUUUGACUCUAUUGACAGCUAUGUUAGGCUUGUUUCUACUUUACUUCAAGAUGCCCAUUCUCUUCGGUUAUGGAAAAAAUUAAACUUUCUACGUUAUUACUUCCUUUACAGAUGUUGAUAAGCCUACAUCAAAUCCUCUGCCCAGACAAUCAGAAGCCUUUGCUGAUCACCAGAAUGCACAACAGGCGUUGGAGACUGUUGCUCAACAAGUGCCCAAUUUUGGAACUGAACAGGCAUGCCUUUUCUUUCAAUCUAUCUAUCUGAAAUUUUCAAUUUGCAAUUACUGUAUUAUAUUUCAUUUCUAUUAUAUUUGCAUGUUUAUCAUGGUCAAUCAUGUUUUUAUUAUAUAUGGCAGGAUAAAGCUCAUUGUCCUUUCCAUUUGAAGACUGGAGCUUGUCGGUUUGGUCAGAGAUGCAGCAGAGUUCAUUUUUACCCUGAUAAAUUGUGAACUCUGCUCAUCAAGAAUAUGUAUAAUGGUCCCGGCCUUGCUUGGGAGCAAGAUGAGGGGCUCGAGGUAUGUAAUUGCUGAUUCUUGUAUCCUGAUAAGGACUCUUCCAAACUUCUAUACUUUUGUGCAAUUUGUUGGAUCAUUUUAUAUACGCAUUGUCCUUGCUAUAUAGAAGAUGCUUUUUAUAUAGAAAAAUAUUUUUCCAGUUGAUAUACUGUAAUGUGUUUAUAACUAUUCUAGAUAGUAUCACUGGUGAGUUCUUUUGAGUUCACAUUUUAUUUCUUUUCUUUGACUAUGUGAAAUCAGAGAUUUAUGUUUUCAUAACGAUGGAGAUUCAUGGUGUUGGCCUUGAUUGGGUAAGAGUGAAGGCUAUGAGCUAUUCUGUAUCCUACAUGCUGCAAAUGAUUUUAGCUAUUAUGAAAUUUCUUGUUUAUAUGUUUGGCUUAUUUCUCUUUCUUUCUUUCGUUCUUUCUUUCUUUCUUUCUUUCUUUCUUUCUUUCUCUCUCUCAUUAGUCACAUAGCUGUACAACUCUGUUUGAGUUAAAAAUUUCUCCUUAACAACUAGUAGUUUCUUGUGGAAUAUACUAUAUAUCGUCGAUUGUCAGAGCUGGUCAUCUAACAAUGGUCAUUACUUUGGAAGGUUUGGGAUUGUUUGCCACAACACCUAUUUACUGACACAUGCUGUUGGUGCCCUUCAUUUACUUUAGAAUGUGUCGGGGGAGACAGAAAGCUGGAGAAAAAGAAGUUGUUUUGAUUGAUGCAAAUUAAAUUAGUUGAACACAUGAUAGGUUUCAUUUCAGUCUAUUAUACUGAUGAGAAAAUAUUAGCCAUUAGGUGAGGAUUAAAUUGCAGGUUAUAUAUAUCUUGUCCCCUAGUUGUGUAUUUUGAAUAGUGUUAACCAUGUAAAUGGAGAUCAUGGUUAAUAGUUGUCUCCGUGUUAAUCCACUACCCUUUGACCAUUAUCUGGAAGAACAAAAUGCAAAUUGAGAAACUAAUCAAAUUGAUAACUAUCAUAGUGAAGUUUCAAGUUAUAUGCUAGAGUAUUUUUAUAAGUUGUUUCACCUCCUGAUAAAUAUCAUUUUGUUUUUCCAAUGUCAAAAUAAAUCAUUCUUGACAGACUAUACUUUCAUACUUUUAUACUUUUCUUUUGAUUUUAUGCUUCUAAUGUUAACAUACGCAAAAAAAAAAAAAAAUUGGUUGAUUUGCCUCUUUUCUUUUCAGUGGGUUUUAACUCCAUGGACUGAUGAUGAAUGCAAGCUGAUAAUGGAGAACUGUUACAAGGCUCUUCCGGCAGGAGGAAAACUGAUUGCUUGCGAGCCUGUGCUGCCUGAUGAUUCAAACGAAAGUCAGAGGACUCGUGCUCUCUUAGAAGGGGACAUUUUGUUAUGACCAUCUACAAGGCCAAAGGUAAACACAGGACUGAACAAGAGUUUAAGCAACUUGGUUUCUCUGCUAGUUUUCCACACUUGAGAGCUUUUUAUUUCGAUUAUUUUCACACUCUUCUUGAGUUCCAAAAGUAAUUUUAGUUUCUGGAUCCUUGAAAGACUUGGGGAAUAUUUGUGAUGGAGCUUCUGUGGUUGCCUAGGAUGGAAUAACUUGCUCUGAAUUAUAAAUGUUGAGUAGGCAGUUAGCACUAGCUGCCUACCAAAUAUAUAUAUAUAUUGUCAAAAAGUGCUCAGCCAUGAUCCUGUCAAACCGGUGGCACAGGUUCACCAUUUGCCUUCAAAAUCCUAACUUAUUGUUUCUUUUCUUAUUUUAUGAUUUCGGGUCUCUCUUAUUGUCAUUAGAUCUUGAUUUUUUUUUUUAAUUGUUCUUUUAGGUUUAAAUAAGUGACUUGGAGAAGAGCUUCUAUGUUUCUUUGGCUACUUGGAAGAAACAAGAAGGUAAAGAUUUAGCUUUUAAUGUGUUUUUUUCUCUGCUACGAUCAAGUAGACGGUUAAUUUAUAAAAGAAAUGCUCUGUGUGAUUAUCUGAAAAUUGCAGAAACGCUAUCAGUUUGUCAUUUCUAUUAACUUUCUUUCUCUAUAGCAAAAUAAUUAAACAUUGGAAGUAUGCAUAUAAAUAAGGAGGUAGCAAGGUUAUUGGAUUUCUUUAAGGGAAUGAAUGAAGUCAGUCCCUACACUAACUACUUGGUUGAUGCCUUAGUAAUUAAUUGCUCAACAUUAUGAUGUAGUUACUGGGAAUCUAGUGACUAAUUUUCAACAAGUAAUUGUAUUUUUACCUAGUUAUCGUUCUUACUCUAUUUAGAGUCAUUAACUUAUUAUAAAUAACCUUACCAAAAGAGAAUAAUCAUUGACUCCCUUUUUUCUUAUUUAUAUCUGUAGUUGAAUAAACUGUAUUUCUUUGGUAUUUUUAAGGAAAUAAACUACAACUUCCUUGUUCACUAAUUUUUCUUUGAAAUAAUUGAGUUUACUUAUAAAUAGUGUAUGAAUAUUUUUUCUUUAGAACAAAAUAGAUUUAUUUAUAUUAAGCAUUGUUUCUCUAAUGGUUGGGAAUUGGCAGCUAAUUUUUUCUCCCUUUUCGAUGUAUGCAGAUUUGCUCAAUGUGUUUGAAGUGUUUAUUCCUCAACUUCACUUGUAUCAUAACCCAUUCAGUCUAUUGAAUGGAGAAGCUGCUGGUGUGAUAACGCAAUUAUACUACUCAUAUUCAAAGUGUGAAAGAUAGUCAUCAUUCUCAAUUUAACUUCUAGAUUUAUUAAAUUUAGCCACAAGUAGUACGCAUUUGAUUGGAUGUUAAAAAUUUUUAUGUAUUGAAUUUGGAUUAUUUAGUUAUGAGAGUAGGAUAUGUCAUAUUUUGGCUAUUGAAGUUCAAUUUGUAAUAUAUACUAAUAAUAUUUAAAUGUGAAAUGAAAGAUUUUGUGAUAUAAAUCAAUUUAUUUUUGUUAUUUUGUGGUGCUUUUAAUUUUACAAAUAAAUCAAUAGGCAAUGAUCCAAUUUAAUUUUUUAUUUUUUAAAAAAUAAAUUAACUAGUGAUACCAUGGUAACAGUAAUCAUAGACACUAAUAAAAUAUCAAUAACUACUAACAUUAUGGUGUCAUAAUAUCGGUGAUACUGUAGUAAUAGUAAUCACUGACACCACUUACAAGUGUUACUAUUUUUCUGACUCCCAGAUUACUGACAUAAUUAACAAGUGUCAGUGAAAGUAAUUUCUGACACUAUUCUAAAGUCAGUAAAGACCAUUUUUCUAGUAGUGUUAUCAUUUGUUACCACAUAGCUAGCAUUGAAAUAUAAAGUUCCUAAUAAAAAAUUAACUUUUCCCAUUAUAUUUGACCCAUGAAAACGGUACUAUCAGCAGGAAUCAGUGAAGCUGCGGUAGCAAAUUCAAAUGUUACAGAAUUCUAACAGGUAUUUACAAUUAUUUCAUCAACAAUCAUUUUCUUAUUAAGCAUAGUCAAUUAAUUAUGCCAAAAUAUACAAUUUCAAUUGGUUAUCUCACUCUUGACUCUUCAUAUUGGCAUUUGAUGCGUGAUUCUUUGAGUUCUUUAACUGUAAAGGAGCUUAAGCAACUGGAGAACAGGCUUGAGUGAGGCAUCACGAGGAUCAGGUCCAAGAAGGUAAUUAAUUAAUUUCAUUAUGCAUACAAAAAUAAUUGAAUUUGAGCAAUACACCAUUGUUUUGCAACAAUACAUUGCAUAAACUUUAUUUAUAUACAUUCAAUAAAUGUAAUUUAUGUCAUUUUGAAAAUAAUUUGUUGCUUUGUGCGUUUCCUGUUUUGUGCAACAGCAUGAAAUGCCUCUAGCUGAAAUUGAGUUCUUGCAGAAAGGGUAAUAAUUAAAAUUCAUUAAAUCCUGGUUAGCCUUUUUUUCGUUUUCUUCAAAGCUUUUAUGGAACUCUUUAACAUUUUCAUUUUCAUAGGAGAUUGAGCUGGAAAAUGAAAGCGUGUGUCUCCGAUCAAAGGUAUGCAAAUCAGUCCGUUGUAUGUAUAAUGCAUUUUUUCUCUCCCUCUUCCAAAAUUUCAGCACGUUAUUCAAAUUUCAUUGUUUCUGAAACUCAGAUAGCAGAAAUGGAGAGGUUUCAGCAAGCAAACACGGUGACUGGGCAAGAGCUGAAUGCAAUCCAUGCAUUAGCUUCUCGGAAUUUCUUCAGUCCUGAUAUCAUCGAGGGUGGCGGCACUGCCUACUCUCACCCAGACAAUAAGAUACUCCAUCUCGCGUAAGUAAUUCUCCCAUCACAUUUCAUUUCUGCGAAACCGUGUUGCGCAUGCAUCAAUGUUUUCUCCCGUUUGCAGGUAAGCUAGAUGCUGGCGAUCAAGCUUGUGGCAUCUCGUACUGCGAGAUCUACGAUCAGCCUAUCAUUAUCUACUGAAUGUGUGUGCCACUGGAUUCCUAUUUUUGAAACCUGCAAUAUAUGAAACUGGAUGAGUUUAUGUGUAACCUAAUUACUUACUCUGACUUAUCAUUGGCAUCUUCUUCUCGGGAGACCAGUUAUCAAGCUGAAACUUAAUAUCUAUUUAACUGAUGCUGUAUGAUGUCGAUGGGUUUGCAUUAUGUACAAGGUAAAUAAAUAUUGUGUCAUACAUUCAUAAAUAAAUAUUGUACUUGAUAAACCUAGACCAUGAGCUAGUUGAAGUAUGGUGUGAAUCAAAGAAGGGUCAUAGGCUUGGUGGUUUUAUUGCAAGUCUCUUGGAUGUUAGGUUUGCUCUGUUAGUCUGUUUGAAUUUUUGGGAAAGUCAUGAUUAUUAGAAGGGCACAUUUUGGGUUGUAUCUGCUACAAAUGUGGACACAAUACAGCGUUCGUUAAGAGCUCAAUGAGGAGAAAAGGAAUCAGAUCUCUUUGAAUCCACCAUGUAAGAAAAGAUUCUAGAUGGCUCCAUAAAAGAAACUUCAUUUGAUGUCAAUACGGUUUUUCCAUUGUGCCUGCAGGUGACUAGGUCAAAGAAUGGCACAAUAAGAAAAUAUACUUUAGGUGAUUUUCACGCCGAUGGCACAUUGUGCCUGCAGGUGACUAGGUCAAAAACUGGCACAAUCCCCAUUAUAAGGUUUCUUAGGGCGCUCCGCAGUCUCCUUCUCAGCACUCCCAGCUUGAAUUUCAUCGACUUCAUUUGAGCUAAUUGUGCAACCUCUUCUGCCCUUAACCGAGCUGCUUGCUCCUCUGCCAAUUGCUGUUCGAGCCUAGUUGUUGUCUCUUUGAGCUCAGACUCAACCUAUCAAAAAAGCAUCAAUAUCAGUCAGAAAACAUGCUACUAAGCCCUAGAGUAGCAGCAUAAUACCAAAAAAAAAAAUGGUUAUUGGUAUUAUAAAACUCCAACUUAAGAGAAGCAAAUUCUUGAGUAUUAAUUUAGUUUAAUCCAAUUGCAAAGGGAGUUGCUAAGUUCACCAUACUCGGCGAAACAUUCUUACUUCAAUCAAUUCCAGACUCUCAAUCAUUGAUAAAUGGUAGAAACAAAAGCUUUAAAAAAUCAACACAUAAAUUCAAAAUAUAAAGUAUUAAAGAAUCUACUAACUUUUUAAUUUUUCCAUACUCCAGGAAUGUGAAGACUAAAACUUAUUAGCACCUCAGACAUAUAGUCAUUACACAGAAUGUUCCAGCAAAUUCAGAUUCUUGUUGAAUAGGAUCUGGCUUAAUUCCGAAUCAUUGUAUUGCCUUGCUAUAAAUUAAAACUGUGGAAAGGAAAAUCAAAACUAUGCAGCCAUUUGAGUAGGUUCCACGUGCCUAACUAUAUUUUCAUGAAAACUUAUUUUGAAUGUGGCUAUUUUGUUUUUAACAAAAUUAGAAUAUGUCAUAAUCUCAAUUGUUCCCACAGAUUCAGGCAAGAAAACAGUAUCCACAGUUUUACAAGAAAUAUUCUCAUGAUUGAUGACUAAACAAGUGCAGAAUCCAUUCCUAAGUGCAAGUCAUGAUAAGUAAACCACCUAUAGCUACUACCAUAGAAUAACCCACUUAAUUUCAUCAACAAACAAAACAGAGCAGGACGGUCAAACAAUGUUCAAGUUAAGAACAGCAUGUUACAGCCUUCAAAACGCAAUCAGUGAACAGAUAAUAACAGAUAGGUCCACAUCAACUAGCAAGAUAAAGCCUCUUUUCAGAUGGCAAUCUCCAGCAAUCUAGGGGUAAGGACAGAGCGGCAGUCUUUAUCACCUCCAAAUCUAACAAUUUAGAAUAUCAUUACAGGUACCUGCACGCUUUGUAGGCAUUUUUUUAAUUACACAGUUUUAGAAAUGAUUACCCGAUCUGAGAGAUGAACACAUAUGCAUGUCAUAUUUUGAUGCCAAAACAAGGAGUAUAAAAAAUACCAUCUCAGUAAUUCGUUUGAUUUGAUCUUCAUAUGAUUCCUGCAUCUGGCCCAUUAGCUUUGAAAUUUCUUGUUUUGAAUAUUCCUUGAGAGAAUCAACGUCAGCUUGUUGAUCACGGAGUUCAGUAGCCCCUCUCUGAGUAGAAAAAAAAAAGAAAAAGAGAUAUUGUCAUGACAUAUUCAGAAAGAAGCAGCACAGAAGUCAAUCGCGACAGUAACGAAGUCACCUUCAACUCAGCAAGGAGCUCGUCCGUAUAUGGCUGCCCACCAUUAUGCUCGAUCACAGAGUUAACCAGAGAAAGAAGCUUCUCAACCUGCUCAGUUCUCUUGGCCUCAUCCUUGGUCUUGUUAUCAAAAAGCACGCACCUAUUAUCACAUAGUUGAAGGAUUUCCUAAAAUAAUGGAAAAAUGAUCAGGAAUAAAGCAAAUGUUAGCUCAUUUCGUAAGCAUUGAUGAACCAAUCAAACACUUGUAGUCUCUAAAAGUUUGAGGAUAUUAAGCUGACAAAAUUUGUUUUUAUUGUGAUCGUAAGCACUUAAUAUCAGGCCUCCUAAGAAACUAUUUAAUAAUCAAUUCCAUUCUCCUUAUGGUUUGACCACUUACAUAACCUCUUACAUCCAUCAAAUUUAAAGACCUUAAAAGGUGAUCAGCAUUCCAUAUAACAAAAAAAUAAUAAUAAUAAUAAUAAUAAUCUGCAUAUAUUCCCGUGAAAAGCAUUGACUCAAUCAAAAUUAGUGGCUACAAAGCAGUAGCUGCCUCUUCACUCGGCAAAUUCUUACGUUAUAGAACAAAGCAUGAAAGACUGUAUUAUUGUGAUCAAAGCCCAAAACUGCCAAAAGGCAAGAUCACAUUUUCUGUGGCAUCUACAUAAUUGACCUAAUUGUGGCAUCUACAAUUGAUACCUUCAAACUACAAAAAUUGGUACAAUAAGUAAAACAAAGUUCCCUUAAAAUAACCCGAUUUUGUUAAUUGCAGAGCUACAACUUGAAGGGUCUUUAUUUUCUUUUUUGUUAUUUUUCUUCCCACUCCUCAUAGGUUAAAUCAAGUAUGCAGUAAAAUAGAAGAACUUGAUAUAAAUCUUUCUCAAGUUAAAAAAUUUUAGAAACCAAAUUCAUCAAGUACAUUAUGAAAAUAAGAGAUUUGCAUGUUGAAACUGAAAAAACAUCUCACAUUGAAAUUUUAGACAACAAUUCUGAGGCUAGAAUCCACAGGAAUUUUUAAGAGAAUUUUAAAUAUUGUAAAGUUAGUCUUGAUAUUUUAUUCAAACAACGCCGAAUAAAAUGGAGCUCACGUAUAAAUCAAAGAGGUACAUAUUUUAAGAAACAAACGAAUGAACACACGUUAAUAGAAUAAGAACCAAGAUUAAAUAGCAGAGGAAAUCAAAGAAUACAAAUAAGAAAAGCAUAAAUGCUUAGCAAAUGAAUGAAUGACAUCUCAUUCAAAGACAUUAAAAUAUAACUAAAAUUAAGUAAUGCCAGCAGAAAAUUACCAACCAAUCACCUCUCCGGCAUAUCCCGCAUGGCAGAAGAAAACCAUUCAGGAAAUGAAGCCCUAUUGAAAAUGGAAUUUUAAGACGGCUGGACUACUAUACACCUAUCUAGUAUUUUCAGCAUGCAUAUAUUCAUAGUAAACUUCCAAUGGUCCAACCGUAAAGGAGUCUAAAACUUCACAAAAGAACCAACCAAAGACAACUUGAUCAAAAUGACUAAUGAAAUUAUCGAACACUGUUGCAGUUCAGAAACAAACCUUUAAAGGCUUUGGACACUCAUGACCCAAAUAAUCUUCUAAUGUUUUCUCAUUAUCUUCAAGAUAAUCCCCUCCAGUGAAAACAGCAAUCAUAUAGUCAAAAAUUUUUUUCCCGAACAAGGUCGGCAAACGGUGUACUGCAGCUUCUUCCUCUUGAGAAAAACGGUUUCGAGCAGAGAAAACUACAAGGACUGCAUGGAUCCCACCCUUGGCCAAACCAAUACAUUUGACAAUUUCCUUGCCGACAAACUCAGAGCCAGCGGAAGAAUCAAAAAGCCCUGCAAUGGCUCAUAACAUCAAUCUCCUUGCCACCACAACAUCAACAAGCAUGGAAUGGAAUAUCUAGGCACCAACAUUAGUAAAUUACCGGGGGUAUCAAUGACAUUAACAACUUGGCCAUCUUUGAGCACGGUUGUCUUCAUUUCACAAGUUAUAGUAACACCAGACGAGCCAGCACUCGCCUUGAAGGCUUUUCUUCCGAGAAUACUAUUGCCCGUCGCACUUUUGCCAUUGCCAGUACGGCCAAGUAAAACUACAGUACGCUCCCCAAUAGAUGGAGAAGUAGGCUUCCAAUCGCCAUCAAUCACUCUUUCUCCCAUCCUAAAAAAAAUUUCAAUUUACCUGCAAUGCAUUUACAGUAUCAAACCACGUCACAUUGAAUUCACUUUUUAUCGUUAAACAAUAAGAAAGAAAAUUUAGUUACCAUACCCUUACAAUUUCACUCUAUUAAAACUUAUAUUUGUUAUUACUUUAAAUAUUAUCCAACCGAACAUAAAUAAAUUCAUUAAAAAAAUAUUAAAAAUAAAAAUUAUUCGGACCCCGACGAUAUAGUUAAAUUUAUAAUCUUAAUAAAAAUAUGAUGGAUUGAUAUAUAAUCAAGCUCAGAAUCUAAACAGCAUCAGUUAAUUAAUUAAUCAUGCUGAUAUAUAAUUUAAUUUAAUUCUGCUUGUUUUAUGAAAUUAUUGAAAAAAAAUGACGAUGAUGAAUUAUGCACAGUGGCGGACCCAAACACUUCAAUUAAGGGGACUUAAUUCAAAAAAAAUUAUUUAAUUUGGGUUUUUUUUUAAUGUUCACACCAUACAUUUUAAGUCUCAUAAACUCAAAUUUCAUUACUUUCUUUUAAAUUCUAAAUAAUAAUAGUAACAAAUUAUUUAUUUCAAAGGCAUGAAAGUAUCAUUUUUCUAAGUAGUUUCGCAAAAUAUUUAAUUCUUUGAAAAAAGGCUUGGGGUACAUUUAAAAGAAAAAUUAAUGGUUCAGAAGGGGCUAAAACCCCUCAUGGGCCUUAAUUGGGUCGCCCAUGAUUAUGCAGUACAUCCGAUAAAAUUUACAAACCAAAGUAAAGAAAAUCUAGUCUAUAAUCAAAAGAAAAAAACUAAAAAUUGAGAUUGAGAGGAAAAGGCGAGGGCAAUUUGGUGAAAGCAAAGUAUGAAAACAAACAGUGAGAUGAUGCGAUGAACUGAGAUUUUACUUACUUGCGAAGAGAGGAGACCUAAAAAGAUUGUGUUGCGUACGAAGAGAUGAGAAAGGGGAAGAAACUUGACUUAAAUUUUAGGAUUUAAGGUAUGAAAAUUAUAAAUUGAAUAAUGAAUGUAAUAGAAAGUUUAAAUAGAAAGUUGAGAAGUAAAGGAUGUAAGAGAGUUUAAACAGAAAGUUAAGAAGUAAAGAAUCUAAAAGAGUUUGAAGAAAAGAAUUUGAAAGAGUUUAAAUAGAAAGUUGAGAAGUAAAGAAUGUAAAAAAAAUUAAAUAGAAAGUUGAGAAGAAAAGAAUUUAAAAGGGUUUAAAUACAAAGUUGAGAAGAAAAGAAUCUAAAAGAUGAAUGAACAUGCAAUUUCUUUCUUUUGCCUUUCAUUAUUUUGUCACUUUUAUUAUUAAGGAGGUUGUUAAUUUUUUUUUCUAUUGGAACUAAUAGAUAUCACUUAUUUCUUACUGAUUUUAUAAUAUCUAAAAACUCUUUCGUCCCCAAAAAAAUUAAAACAAAAAGGGCAAAUGAGUAAUUUUCUUAAUAACUUAUCUUGGAGCUAUAAUAUAUGCAUUCAUUAUAAGAAAAAUAUUUUAAAGUACCAAAAAGUACAAGAAAAUAUUUUAUAAUUAAAUUUUAUUUUUAUUUGUAUUUAUAUUAUUCAUUUAAUUUAUAAUAAAUAUGAAAUAAAAAUUUAUUUAAAAAUAAUAUAAAACUAUAUUAUUAAAAAAUUAUUAAAUAUUUUAAAAAAUACUAAAAUAAUUAGUAUAUAUUGAUUUGAAUAGAGGACUAUCCACAACAUUCCUAGACUCCCCAAAAGUAAUACGAAGGGAAGGAGGGAAUAUCAAUUGAUGUUGCCCCGGGCAAGGAAAUAUGAAUCUCGUUAACUUAUUGACACGUGUUACCCGCAUAGGGAAUGCCCACACGACGACGUUUCCCAAGGGUAAAUCUCCCGUUUGUGAGUGCUCAGAGGCCCCUCUAGAGGAAAACACAACAGUUACGUGCAUCUAAAACUUUCCAAUAAACAACAUUCCAAUUUCAUUCUCAACCCAAAUAAAAAAUUAGGGUACAAAAUAAUCAAAACUCUUUUUUGAUUUUCGAUUUCAAUACAAAUGGAACAAAUUGAAUGCGAUGAAAUGAAGGAGCCAUUGCAGAGAACCAAAGUAUUGAUUCGUCAUUUGCCUCUUUCCCUCUCUCAAAAUGACGUGUUAGCCCUUUUCCACGAUCACUUCAAUGACCGUUACAAUUGAUUCUACUUUUGCCCCAGAAAAUUUAGGUUUUUUUUAUUUUUUUUAUUUUUUAUAAUUGAUUGAUUUUUGGGCUUUUUUUUUUUGAAAUUUUACUUUAACUUGGAUUUUAGUUUUUUAACAAUUACAAGCAUCAGAGGCAUUCACAAGCAUAUGAAGAAUUGAAGAAGCAUGCGGAUGUGUUUGAGUUUGCGGAGUUGUUGAAUAUACAUCUGUUUGUUAAUGAAAAGGGUAAUUUUACUUACACUUUUGCUUUUACUUAUCAAUCGUAAUUUGGUAAGAAUGAGUUUAUGUUGUUUUAAAUCAAAAGGGCACUUUCUGUUUGGUUGAUUAUAUGUGUUAUUGGUUUCUCGAUUAGGUGCUCAGUUUAAGGCUGUUGUUGAAUAUGCUCCAUCUCAACGUGUUCCCAAGCCUUGUUCUAGAAAUGAUAGCCGUGAAGGCACCAUUUUUAAAGGUAAUUUUUUUAUUAAAAAAAAAACUUAGGGUACUUUUGAGGUUGAAAUGCUAUGACUUUUACCGUACACUUAAGCUACUAAAUUUCAAAGUUACCUUUAUUUUCUUUAUCUUCUUAUUGUUUUUAGAAGUACUGUAGCAAUAAGCUGUAUUUGGUUUUGAUGUGGACAAUAAAGACUCGGAUUAUCUGGAGUUCCUGAAGGUUAUUGCUAAACCUGCAGAGAAUCUACCAAGUUCAGAAAUUCAGUUGGAAAAAAAAAAAAGCUGAGCUAUCUGGUUAGUUAGUUAUUUUUAGAUGAAUAUAACCUGCUGUUCCUAGCGUGUGUGUGUGUGCGCGCGCGCGCGUGUGUGUAAAUGUAUGUAAUUUAAGCUAUAAAAUAAAUAAAUUCUGGCACUGUUACUGAGAUCAAUGCUCAGGUAAGUAAUUCAUUAAUUUAAGCUAUAAAUUCAGGCUUUGCUAGGAAUAUAUAUUAUUAUGAAAAGGUGAAAAAAAAAACCAACUAAUUAUCAUUUAUUACCACAUAGCUAGCAUUGAAAUAUAAAGUUCCCAAUAAAAAUUUAACUUCUCCCGUUACAUGUGACCCAUGGAAACAGUACCAUCAGCAGGAGUCAGCAAAGCUGCGGCAGCAAAUUCAAAUGUCACUGAAUUCUAACAUGUAUUUUCAAUUAUUUCAUCAACAAUUAUUUUCAUAUUAAGUGUAGUUAAUUAAUUAUUCCAAAAUAUACAAUUUCAAUAAAUUUUCAAUUGGUUAUCUCACUCUUGACUCUUCAUAUAGGCAUUUGAUGGGUGAUUCUCUGAGUUCUUUAACUGUAAAGGAGCUUAAGCAACUGGAGAACAGGCUUGAGCGAGGCAUCACUAGGAUCAGGUCCAAGAAGGUAAUUAAUUAAUUGCAUUAUGCAUACAAAAAAUAAUUGAAUUUGAGCAAUACACCAUUGUUUUGCAACAAUACAUUGCAUAAACUUUAUUUAUAUACAUUCAAUAUAUGUAAUUUAUGUCAUUUUGAAAAUAAUUUGUUGCUUUGUGCGUUUCCUGUUUUUUGCAACAGCAUGAAAUGCCUCUAGCUGAAAUUGAGUUCUUGCAGAAAGGGUAAUAAUUAAAAUUCAUUAAAUCCUGGUUAGCCUUUUUUUCGUUUUCUUCAAAGCUUUUAUGGAACUCUUUAACAUUUUCAUUUUCAUAGGAGAUUGAGCUGGAAAAUGAAAGCGUGUGUCUCCGAUCAAAGGUAUGCAAAUCAGUCCGUUGUAUGUAUAAUGCAUUUUUUCUCUCCCUCUUCCAAAAUUUCAGCACGUUAUUAAAAUUUCAUUGUUUCUGAAACUCAGAUAGCAGAAAUGGAGAGGUUUCAGCAAGCAAACACGGUGACUGGGCAAGAGCUGAAUGCAAUCCAUGCAUUAGCUUCUCGGAAUUUCUUCAGUCCUGCUAUCAUCGAGGGUGGUGGCACUGCUUACUCUCACCCGGACAAGAAGAUACUCUAUCUCGGGUAAUUAAUUCUCCCAUCACAUUUCAUUUCUACACACUCGUGUUGCGUGUGCAUCAAUGUUUUCUCCCAUUUGCAGGUAAGCUAGAUGCUGGAUAUCAUGCUUGUGGCAUCUCAGUGCGAGAUCUACAAUCAGACUACAUUAUCUACUGAAUGUGUGUGCUACUUGAUACCUAUUUUUGAAACCAGCAAUAUAUGAAACUGGAUUAGUUUAUGUGUAACCUAAUCACUUAGGCUGACUUAUCAUUGGCUUCUUCUCCUUGGGAGACCAGUUAUUAUGCUGAAACUUAAUAUCUAUAAAACUGAUGCUGUAUGAUGUCGAAGGAUUUGCAUUAUGUAUAAGGUAAAUAAAGAUUGUGUCAGAUAUGCAUAAAUAAAUAUUAUACUUGAUAAAUCUAGGCUAUGAGCUGGUUGAAGUUUGGCGUGAAUCAAAGAAGGGUCAUAGGCUUGGUGGUUUUAUUGCAAGUCUCUUGGAUAUUAGGAUUACUCUGUUGUAUGAAAGGAGUAAAUUCUAUACAAACAAACUAUUUAUACAAACUAAUAUCACAUUAGAAGAGUGAAAACAAAAAAGUUAAGGUACAAGUAAACUCAAGUGACUUGAGGAGUUUUUGGGAAAGUCAUUGAUUGUUAAAAGGGCGUAUUUUGGGUUGUAUCUGUUACAAAUGUGGAAACAAGAUAGCGUGAGGAGAAAAAGGAAUCAGAUCUCUUUGGAUUCACCGUGUAAGAAAAGAUUCUAAACGGCUCCAUAAAAGAAACUUCAUUUGAUGUCAAUUCAAUUUUUCCAUAUAAUACUAUCUUAAGACCGCACUCGAGAUUGGACUGGGAACAUUUACAUAAUAGAGGAUACAAGCUUCUUGACUGUAGUAAAACACUGAGAAUAAAUGCAGUAUUAACUUCAAAUAUUAUCUGAAAAGGUAGGGGAGACAGCAAAAAUAUACUUUAGGUGAUUUUCAUGCCAAUGGUAUAUAGUGCCAGCAGGUGAUUAGGUCAAAGAAUGGCACACCCUCCUUUUUCAGCUUGCUUACGGAGCUCCUCUGUCUCCCUCUGAGCUCUUUCAAGAUUCUCUCUAAGCUUACGAAUUUCGUCAUUCGACUUCAUUUGAGCUAAUUGUGCAACCUCUUCUGCCU
rnacentral:lncRNA from 1 species